UAUGAUGAAUAUUGGAGAGAGAUAAGAAAAAUUUGUGUCAUUCAUCUCUUUAACUCUAAUAGGGUACAAAAUUUUCGACCCAUUAGAGAAGAUGAAGUUUCAAGAAUGAUUGAAAAGAUUUCAAAAUCAGUUGCUGCUUCUAAUCCCGUAAACUUAAGUGAGGUAAUGAUGUCUCUUACCAGCACCAUUAUUUGUAGAAUUGGUUUUGGCAAGAGGUACGAUGAAGAUAAAGCAACAAGUGGAAGAAGUAGAUUCCAUGCCAUGCUUAAUGAAACUCAAGCCUUGUUUGUAAGCUUUUUUGUUACAGAUUAUUUUCCUUUCAUGGGCUGGAUUGAUAAGCUCACAGGAAUGAUGCAACGCCUGCAAAAUAACUUCCAAGAAUUCGAUAGAUUCUACCAGGAACUCAUCAACGAGCAUUUGGAUCCAAACAGAACUAAAUCAGAAUUGCCGCAACCGGAGGAUAUAAUUGAUAUUUUACUUCAAAUACGAAAAGAUCGUGGAUUUAAAGUUGACUUGACUUUGGAUCACAUCAAAGCAGUGCUCAUGGUGAAUAAUUUUAUAAAUAGUUAUAUGUAGACUCGUGCUUAGGCGCAGACUCAAAAUUUUGCGCAGAUACCCAAUUUUACAGUCUUGUAAAAUGUUUUAUAAUGCUGUAAAGUGCCCUUUGACGUCCACCUGAGCAUGAUUAAUUUAAUAUAAUUUUAUUUGCUUUUAAGUAAUUUAAUAUGUAUAUAUGUAUGUUGUUUGUUUUGCAGAACGUAUUCGUUGCUGGAACAGACACGAGUGCAGCAACUGUGGUUUGGGCCAUGACUUACCUAAUGAAGAAUCCUAGAGCAAUGAAAAAAGUUCAACAGGAAAUCAGAUCGUUGAUUGGGGGUAACAAAGGCUUUGUAAAUGAAGAUGAUGUUCAAGAACUACAUUAUCUUAAAGCGGUAGUGAAGGAGACAAUGAGAUUGCAACCCACAGUGCCAUUACUAGUCCCAAGAGAAACAAUUGAAAAGUGCGUAAUAGAUGGGUAUGAAAUACCAGCUAAAACACUUGUCUUUGUAAAUGCAUGGGCGAUAGGAAGAGACCCUGAAGCUUGGGAGAAUCCGGAGGAAUUUUAUCCGGAGAGAUUCGUUGAUAGCUUUAUUGACUUUAAAGGGCAACACUUUGAGUUAAUACCGUUUGGUGCUGGCAGAAGAAUUUGUCCUGGGUUGAAUAUGGGAAUCGCAACUGUGGAUCUUGCACUUGCUAAUCUUCUUUACAAAUUUGAUUGGGAAAUGCCGCCUGGAAUGAAGAGCCAAGACUUGGACUUUGAUGUUCUGCCUGGAAUUACUAUGCAUAAGAAGAAUGCUCUCUCUCUUUUGGCCAAGUAUCAUGAGUAGGUAAAUUAAGGCACCUUGGUCAAUAAGAGUUUGAUCUAAACUAAAUGUAUGUUAUAGAGAUUGCAUGUAUGUCCUCAAUUGUGCUUCUCAUGUUUCCUUUCUUUCUUCUUAUGUAUAAUGAAUGUUGAUGUCUAUGUGCCCAUAGGCUGAGUGGUUUUUAAUAAUUAAAUUUCUUUUAGUUCAAAAUUUUGGGAGGUAAGGACUAGAGAAUAAUGGUUACUCUGCUCACUCUCCUAUACUAAUAAAAAAAAAAGUUGAUAUGAAUGUGAAUAUUAAUCUACUACAUUCAUUUCGUCUCAUAUUUUUUCCCCUAUAUUUUUUGCUUUAGAUUUAACUUCUAUCACUUAAACUGCUAUCUUUUUAUAUGAUUGGAUAGAGAUUGAAAUUUUUGCUGUUCCAUCUCAAUGUUAAUGCUAAUUUUAUCUUCACACCUUUACUGUAAUUUUCUACUUUUACUAUUAGAUGCUGAUAGGGUCUUUUCUUGGAGAUUACUUUACCAAAAAAAGUCUGAAAGAAGAUUUUAUAUCGAUCGGAUAGCAAGCUUGUCCAUAUAGUUUAUGGAUUAUCUGCAAGAGCUCUUUUUAGUGCGCAUACGGUUGUCCCUUCAUGUUAGCAUAUUUAUUCUGUCAUCAAUGAACUUUUGCAUUUAAAUGGUAUCAGUUCAAGUGAUGAAUGAAUUUUACCUAUUGCCUAUCUUGGACUAAAUUUAAUUUCAAAAAAUGAGCUUCCAGCUUAUGACUUAUACGUAUCUUGAACUUUGGUUUUACGAUCACCGUUGGAUGGAAGAGUGGCUUGAGUUUGUUAAUUGCUUCAGUCCCAGGACUAGUGUUUGGAAACAUAAAAUUUAACACUCCCCAAAAUAAUUCAAUAUACAACCAACUCCGAUGAUCAACAUCCUCAACCAAAAUUCUAAGUUUUACUCAAGAUAUCUCCAGAGUCUCAAAAGAUAAUAUUAUAACUAAUAUUAAUAUACCUCAGUUUAUUCUUAAUCCCAAAAGAAUAAUAUAACAAAAUUAUACAAUCUAAAAAGAACAAGAUAACUAUGAUAUCCUAAUAAAAAAAAUCAUCUAUAUCUUCUAACACCAUCACGUGGCCAAGAUUCAAAAUAUAUUUACAGUCGCUGGGUCGGUUUGGUGUACCUGCAACCUCCUGGUGGGAGGAGGGAAUAGAAUAAAAGCGGGAUGAGUAUAAAACUCAGUGAGAUCAGUGAGUGGAUAGUAGUUUUCGAAAAAUUAAUUCUUACUUUAAAAGAAAUAAUUAUAUCAUUUCCAAACACGAUUUCAUCAAACCAUAUGCGAGAAACCAAUAAUAAAUCAUUUAACAUUUAAAUCAGAUUACUAAUCAUGAAAAUCAUAUAUAAUAUCAUGCCUAAUAACUAUGGAAAUCAUAUCACAAUAUCAUAUAAAAUACACAAAUCUGAAAAUCAUCACCAAACAAGUACCCAAGGGAAAAAUCUCGUCGUAUCCGGACCUCAACGGACGGGCAAUGACGUACUAUCUAGGUACUACCAUGCCCCAGAGCUACAUGGAUAGACAUGAAAAUACCAUCUCAUAUCUCAUCAUAUCUCAUUAUAUCUGUGCAUGCAUAAUCUAGUCCCCAAAGGAUAAAAUCGCCCAAGCACACGGCCCAAAGCCUCUGUGUGUACUCAGACGAAUUCCAAAGGCAUGUAUCUCAUCUAUAUCAUAUGUAUCUCAAUAUAUGUCUGUAUCUCAUAUUUGUAUCUCUAUAAUCAUCAUACCGCAUGCAUAUGCCCCCAAAAAGCAAAAGCGCCAAAACACACGGCCCAAAAUCUCUAUGUGUGUUUAGAUAGGCCCCAAAUGCCUCUUAUCUCAUCUGUAUCACUGUAUCUGGAGGGAAGGAUAUUGUCCAAUGAUUUUAAAAACAAUCUCUAUACUCAUAUUCAUAUACAUUCUAAUUAUACAUUUCUUUCUUUAUCACAUCUAAAUAUAUUUUUCUCAUCUUUAAAAUACUGUCAUAUUUUAUUCAAUGUUGAUACGAAAAAUCAUUAACCAAACAUUUUAAUAUAAUAUCAAUGCGUGUAUAAAAUCCAUUAUGAGGAAAUCAUUAAAUCAGAACAUUUAAAAUACUAUUUUCGCAAACGUGAUUUACUAUCAUAAUUAAUUAUGAAAAUAUGUUUUGUAUAUUUUACUCACAGCGACAGUGUUCACGCUCGGUUAUCGUCCACGUCUGCGAAUCGGUUCUCGCUCACAGAUCCUCCUAAAUAAAAGAAACGGCAUAAUUAUUUUCUGUAAAUCAGAAUUAAGACUAAAUUUAUGCAAUAAACUCGAAACGAACAUCUAUCCAUAAUUUACAACUCCCGUAUCGAUAGAAUUACUGAAAUACCCUCAAAUAUGUAAAUCGUUAAAAUACUCCAAAAUCGUAAAUUAUCGAAUUACCCUCGGAAUCGUAAUUACACCCAAUCCUCAAUUUCAGAAAUUACUAAAAUAUCCACAAGCUCAAAAAUUACAAAAUUACCCUCAGAGUGUGAAAUUACUGAAAUGUCAUUGUCGGUCAACGGUCACUGGAAUUUAGUCAACGCUGUCCGGGAAGCUCAAGUAUAAAAGUUCCAAUAACGCUGAGUCUAAUAGUGCCGGCGGUGAGGUCCCACAUGCGGCAACGACGCCGUGAAUUUCCAACAAUUGGCCGGCGGCGAAACAGUGACUCCCGGUGACUGUAGAUGGUCAGGAAUUGAAGAGGGAGUUGUGGGGAACAAAAGUGAGGUGGUGGCGUGGUCAAAUUCCAAUAGAAUCAACGGCAAUGGUAUGGGUUUUGGCCGCGGUUUCUCAAGCUUGAAACGGCGACGAUCCCGUCUGCUUUCAGCGACAAUGACGACUGGGUAUGAUGGCCGGUCUUCAAGCUUCAGAUUGGUACCAAGCUUGACCGGUGGGGUGGCCAGAAUCGCAAGAUAUGGCCGGGUCAAUUUCGGGUCAAAACGGUCGGGUUUUUGGGUCGGUUUUGACAGCUUCUCUCUCACUCUCUCACACGUGUGUCUCUGUUUCCCCUGUUUUCCAGCUUCCUCUUUCAUUUAUUUUAACUUUUUAACCGCCUCAUUUUUUUAUUUACUUUUUCACAUAUGUUACAGAAUAACUUAAUCUUUUGCUAUUUUAUUACGUUCAGUUUAUAUACAGCUGAUUCAUUGUAACAAAUGUUAUCAUAAAUAACCACUCGGGCAGUAGCCCGAGUGGCCAGGGCUGCUGCCCUCCAACAAGUUGGAGGGCAGCAGUUCGAACCCCCACAAAAAUAUUGUGGGGGUAUUUCUUUCCUCAAUUAAUUUGAGUGAAGGUAGUCUUCUCUCUUACCCAUGAGUGAGGAGUAGACAUCCCUCGAAUAUUUGUGAGGGUUAAAAUCUGGGCAGAGCUCCAUUAGCAUUGAUGUCAGUUGGUCCCAGUAAUAGUCUGAUUUGUAAAUAUCAGUAAUAGUCUCAUGUAUAUGAGUUGUAAUCUGAGCAAUAGUCUCAUGUAAUCAAAAAAAAAAAAUGUUAUCAUAAAUGAUUCUCGAGUAAUUUCAUUUAUUUACUUUUUCUUCUUUCACAGUUGGCCUGUACGGUAUCAUUUACUUUUAUCUUUUUUCAAAUUUCUUUUAAUCUAGAGAAUGUUUGUUUUAGUCCUGAUCUUGGGUUACUGAAAUGUUUCAUUCCCUUUUCCUAAGUAUUUUUGUUGCUUGUUUAGCGGGCAAUACUGCAACAGUGAUUUCAAUUCACAAAAUUCUGUAAAUACUUAUUAUUCUUAGUGUGGUUUUAAGGUAGAGUGAACUUAAUAUUAUCAUAAUGGCUUACAUCCCUCCACAUAUGAGGCAUACUACGGACCCCCAGAGGCCAUCUCCAGUUCCAGAGAUGAUUGUGCCUAAAUUCAACAGAAAAUUAAACUUGGGAUCAUCCAAGCAUAAUGCAGACAUGAGUGGAAAGAUCGUGUAUGCAGACCCUGCCAUACACAGGUUCUUCAUAUGUGGCUUGGAUAAUGAUAGCAGCACUCCUUCUGUCCGCUUUGUGGAGUUUUCAGACGACCCUGUUGAGCAUAAAAGAUCGACGACCAUUAAUCUGGCUCGAGGUUACUGAUCUGCAUUUGUAAUUUUAUCUUAAAUAUGUUCUACUUUCUUUCUUUAUUUAUAUCCGGUGCUAACUUUAGUUAUAAUGACAUUUGGAUUUUGGGUUGGUAGAUAACGAUAAAUUAUGUGGGAAUACGUCAAGAAGCCCGUGGGAAUCGAUGGCAGAAAAUGUAUGGCCAGAUGUAUUGAGUGCUUGUAACAUUGUCAAGAACGAAAUGGAGGAAAAGCCAACAAUGGUUGCUAGAUUUGGCCAUCAUCUUUUCCGUGAGUAUGUGAUCUGGUUCCAUUGCUGUAACAGCUUGAACUUUUUAUUAGGUCAUUCCUUUUCUUUGGACUUUGAAAUUAAAGCAGCAAAAAUGCAUGUUCAUACUAAAUUCUGACAGAAAUCUUAUGGUCAUAUAAGUGCUGGCAGCUAAAAUUAUGAGCUUUACCAUUAACCCUACCACCAGCUGUGGAUGACUGUAUAUCGGACCUCCAAGCCGGGGACAAAAGUUAAAAUUGCUUUUAAAAGCCAAAGAGGAAAAGAUUUGUAGAAAGAAGGAAAAAGAAAAUGGCAAUUUAUAGUGCAUGCACUUCUUUCAGACUUGUAUCUCAUAGAAGCUUUCAUGGCAUCUAGAAUUUGGCUUUGGCUUUGCGUAGGACAUUUCAAUUGUUGCUGGUGGAAACAAAUAUAUCCAUUGUCUUAGUAUUGCUUGAUUUCCGGUGCAAGAAACAAAUAAAUUUGUUGCCGUGGCCAAGUUUUGUUGUUUGAUAUUUCAUUGGGACAACAAAGUAUACCACUGCUUCGCCUAUUUCUUACAUCUUUGCAUCAUAUAUUUCCAUUCUUCUAUCACAUCUUUGAAGCUUCUACUAGUUCUCAUAUUAGAAGCGCCUCAAAGAAAUAAUUAUUAUAUUAUUCGUCUUAAUGAAGGAGUGACAUACUGAGCUUAGAAAAUGCAAAAGAAGGUCAGGUUGCUGAAUCUGCUUUGAGCCCACUGAGGAGAUGCUUUUACACUGGUGUCCCUCCUACAUACAUGGGAAAAAUUGUAAAUGAAGUUGUGCCAAAAAUUGGGGUUGGUUUUGUAGAGAACAAGGAUAUAUACCAUGUCAAGGUAGUUCUCCUGCAGUCCUGCUAAAUACUUUAGUAGUCAUCACCAAGUUUCUUUUAUCUCUCACUUAAUUAGCCAUUGAUUCCCCCCCUUCUUUUUCUUGUGUAGUUGUCUGAUGGCACACGACAAAUUACGUGCAAAUGUACUGUUAAAGAAGAUCAAAAGCUUCAUCUCUAUAAGGCAAGUCUUUUGCUACUGGCUGAGUAUUAUUUAUGGACAACGGGUCCAAGUUUAUAAGUUGCCUCUUGUGUUAAGGAGACUUUUGCUAGUGGAAACAUUGAAACAAGACUUAUGAUGUUUUGAAUUGAAUGAUAUAAUCUUUUCACUGUGAAUUAUGAAGGAGAUGUCGAAUAUAAGCGAUAGAUAUCAAGAAAGAGACGAAACCUUUGUGUCUCAAAAGAACCUUUUAGAAGUCUCUCCAGGAAUAAUCUCAGUUAAGAGGAAAAGAAUUAAAAUGAAAAGAAGGAAGAAAAUUCUCAAGAAGUAAGACUAAUUCUACAUCUAAUUGAGGAACAGGCUUGUUAAUUUAACAAGGAAAGCUCCAGUAGCUAUUUAUUAUAAACCAAUUAAAAAUUGAAUUAAAUUAAUAGUUAACUUGUAAUUGAAUGUCUAAUCCAACAAACUAUGCAUAAGAUUACAGAUGUAACUAUGUAAUACAAAAAACCUCUGCUUAUCGUAGACCAAAGUGAAUAUGCCAAUAUUUAGGAAUUUCUUUCAGCAUCAUGGGAUUUAGAUCCCUAUAAUUUUUUUUAUUUUAGUGUAGUGACAUCCGGAAGACCAGAAUUAUCACGUACCUCGUAGUAGUCAUUUUAUGUCUUUUAAAGCGCCACAUUAUUUCCCAUACAGUCAUAAUAUAUCUAUUUGUUGUUUAUUUAUUGUUGUCGUGUGUGGAGUCUCAUCUUGAAUAUGAACAUUUUUCCGGAAGGUCGAGCUGAACUCUGUUCGUCACAUGGUAGCAGACAUGUUAUGCGUUCAUAAAAAUCUAGACCUGAGGUUGGCACUAUGUUCAAAGAGUACCUUAUCUGCUCUCUCGGUAAGUCAAUCUGCUACUCUGUGCAUGUUUAGCUGGACUUUUAAGUUACGCCUUCUUUUUUCCCCUUUUUAUUUUUUUUUGGUCAUUUGCUUGUUGGAAUCAUCAUCAUUACAGAAUGAGGAAGAAAAAUUCAAGACCAGGGGAAAUAAGGAAAUAUUAAACUUAUAGCUUUUGUUUUAUCAUAGAAAGUUUACUUUCAAGGGGUUGAGAAAAAAAAAAAAUUAUAUAUAUAUAUAUAUAUAUAUAUAUAUAUACACAUACAUAUAUAUAUAUAGGGAUGGCAAAAUCCGGGUCUGGGUCCGGGUUUAGCCUUCCCGGUUCCGGACCCGGACGCCAUUUUCUUUCUCUCGGUCCCGGAUUAAAACCCGGUUUUUUCACUUCGGGUCCGGUACGGGUUCAACCCGAAAAAAUCCGGGUUUUGAACCCGGAUCAAUGAAUUAAUUUCUAUAAUUCCAAAAAUAAAAUCUUCAUAUGAAGAUGGCGAUUUUUCACUGGAACCAGAGAAAAUAUUUAUGGCACCUGGAGGGAGUUCCCUCUGUUUUGCAGAUCAUUUAUACAGAACAAAAUGAUUAAAUACCCAAAAAGGAGGAUCACAUGUCUGCAGAUUUGGCCCGCGGAAAAGAUUCAACACAAUCUCCAAAACCAUUUUAGAAUCCGCGAUGGUGAAGAUGCGUUGUCACAACUCAAACAACGACAGCCGAUGAUGAUGAAUACAGGAGCUACAAGGUUGCGACGGUGGUGAACCCAAGAGAACGAGUUGCGACGGUGGCGAACCAAGCUUGCGACGGUGGUGAACCCAAGAGAACGAGUUGCGACAGUGGCGAACCAAGCUUGCGACGGUGGUGAACCCAAGAGAACGAGUGGCGACGGCGGCAAACCAAGCUUGCGACGGUAGCAGCUUGGAUCGUAUGGUUGUUUGGUUGCAGCAAGCGGCAGCUUCAAUGUGUGAAUGUGAGUAUGUAAAUUAGGGUUUUUGUUAUGUUUGUAUUUAUAUUAAAUAAUAAAUAUAAUUAAAAAAUAAUAUUAAAAUAAGAUAUCCGGGUCCGGGUUCCGGAUAUACGGGUUACUCUAAACUCGGAAUCGGACCCGGAUCUAUCCGGGUCGUUAAAAUUCAUUCCGGAUCCGGAUUUUUUUACACUCCGGUACGGGUUCAACCCGGUCCGGAUUAUCCGGAUUCGUCCGGGUCCGAUCCGGGUCCGGGUUAUUCUGCCAUCCCUAUAUAUAUACAUACACACACGACAACAAUACAUAUAUAUACAAAAUUGUGAUAUCGUGCCACAGUUGCACUCAACCGUUGGAUUUCUAUGGACCCCACCUAUCUAAAUGGAUCCAACGGCUGGAUGCAACUGUGGCACGGUACCAUAGUUGCACCGUAGCCAGACCCUGCAAAAGUAUAUUGAAGUUUUUUUCUGGCCUUUUAUGUAAUCACACCCGCCAGUAAUGAGAUAAUUUACAAAAAGGUCCUUGAUGUUUUGGUUAAAUUUAAUUAAAUUAGUAAAUUCAUCCAAAACGGCAUCGUUUUGAAUGUGUUUUUAUUAAGAUUUAUCCAGCAUUUCGUACAUAUAUCAGUGCUUUUUUUUUUUUGUUUAAUUUUUAUAAAGUGUUGGUUAGAAGGCAAACAUCUUACAUUAAAAUGGAGUCUUCUUGCGGCGGCCAAAGGAGAUAUAUAUAUAUAUAUAGGCACACACACAUACACUAGAGUUUUGUUUAAGUUAUAUUUCACAUGGAUUAAGUUGUAGAUGACAGAUCUCUAAAAGCAUCUUGUAAAAUUGUACAUUAAAAAAUAAUAGUUCUAGUAGUGUUAAAGGCAGCUGCUGAAAACAGUUUCUACUUAUGCUGCGUUUACUAAACUGGAAUCGGAAUGAGUUGGAAUCAGAAUGGACGGGAAUCGAAAUGAGCUGGAAUGAGAAUCAAAAUAAGUUGUUUACUUGAACUGUAGGAAUCGAAAUCGGAAUGAGCUGGGUUGCCAUUAAUGUGUUUACUUUGUCUUGAAUCGGAAUCAGAAUGAGUUAGAUUGUAACAAAUUACUAAAAAAUACUUAAUGAAUUAUUGUCAUAAUUAUUAUUAUUAACUAAUUUUAAAUUUUUUAUCAAAUUAUUAUAAUUAUAUUAACAAUUAUUAUAAAAAUAUAUUAACAAAUAAUAUUAAUAUUCAAAAAUUAUAAUUAUUAAUAAUUAUUGUUAAAAAUAUAUUAAUAUAUUAAUUAGUACUAAUAAUUAUAUUAUUUAAUUAAUUAUAAUAACUAUAUUAAUAAUUAUUAUAAUAACAUGUUAAUUAAUUAUUUACAAUAAUAAUAUAUUAAUUAUUGUGAUUAUUUACUCAAGAACAAUAAUUAUUAAUAUAUUAUUGUUAAUAAUAUAUUAUUAUAUUAUUUAAUAGUGAUAAUUAUAUUAAUUAAUAAUAAUAUAUGAAUUAAUUCUAAUAAUUAUAAUAGUAAUUAUUAUAAUAAUAUAUUAAUUAAUUACAAUAAUAAUAUAUUAACUAUUGUGAUUAUUUAUUCAGAAAUUAUAAUUAUUAAUAAUUAUUGUUAAUAAUAUAUUAAUAUAUUAAUUAGUAGUAAUAAAUAUAUAAUUUAAUUAAUAAUAAUAUAUGAAUUAAUUAUAUUAAUAAUUAUUAUAACAGUAUAUUAAUUAAUUAUAAUAAAAAUAACAAUAAAUUAAUUAUUGUGAUUAUUUAUUCAAAAAUUAUAAUUAUUAAUAAUUAUUGUUAAUACUAUGUUAAUAUAUUAAUUAACAGUAAUAAUUAUAUUAAUUAAUAAUAAUAAUAUAUGAAUUAAUUAUAGUAAUAAUAUUGAUAAUUACUAUAAUAGCAUAUUAAUUAAUCAACUAAAAUAAUAAUAUAUUAAUUAUUGUGAUUAUUUAUUCAAGAACUAUAAUUAUAGUUAAUAAUAUAUUAAUUAAUCAUAAUAUUUAUUUAAUUAAUUAUAAUAAUAUAUUAAUUAAUUAUAACUGAGGACAAAGUGGGUAUUUUUAGUUUUGGGGGAUGGCAAAAUGGGAAUUCUUGGGAUGGGAGAUUGAUUCCCACCUCCCCCAUGGGAAUCAAUCUCCCAUUCCCCAUUCCCAAAUAGUUGUGGGCCCCACCAUUUUGAUUUCCAUUCCUGCUUCAUUUUUGCGAAGUAAACGCGUCAAUCAUUCCGAUUCCAGAUUUCGAUUCCCCAAUUCGGGAAGUAAACGCACCAUUAGUUUCUAGUAUAUCCAUAUAUAUUUACCUAAAAAAGAAGGAGGUAAACGUCUUUUGUUUUUUUUUUUUUUUUAAAAGAGAGAGAGCGAGAGAGAGAACAUUUUCUACUGUGUUCACUGACACACCCCGCCCCGACUUAUAUGUUGGAUCCGAGGCGAAUCAUGCGGUCUAGUAACUAAAACUCGUGGCACUAACUUAAUUCAUGUAUAUAUAUUAAUAGUUUUCUGGUUAGGGAAUUGUAAGCUUUUAAAGCCGUGCAGUUUUAAAGUUUUCCCAGACUUUCCCGCACUUUAAAAUUCCAGACUGGAACAUUUAUAUAUAUAUAUAUAUGACCUUUACUAUAAACACAUAACAACCUUUGUGUCUCCUCCGAAAAUAUAUAUGUAUUCAAAACUUGCACAGUUCAUGUCUCAUUAUACAUACUUACAUUACAAGUAUAUAUACAAAAAAAACAUAAACAACAUAAAUGUGCUCAAAAUGCAAGACAUGCAACAAUGCGUCUCGUGGGCCCACCCCAAUUGACUGGAACUGAUCUGCACGAAAUCCUGCGGAAUCCUGGGAAAAAAAAUAGAUAAAUAAGAAAAUAAUGAGCUUGCGGCUCAGUGAGUGGAUAUAAUUUAUAUAUAGAAAAAUAUAGUAGCGUACUAGGAUAUAUACAUAAUUAUGUGACAUAAUUCCGCACUGAAUGUAAUGCAUCAACAAACAUGAAAAUCAUACACACAUGACAAAAUUGUACCAAAUAGUACCCAGGGGAAAUAACUCUCAAUACUUGCUGGGAUCAUCGUCGCACGAGAAGAGCGGGAAAACUCUCAAUACCCAGCGGAAUUUAACUAAAUCGCACGAGUAGAGUAGCCUAACUCUCAAUAUGCAUGCGUAGAGCCUAUGGAGAAGGGUACAUAUAUGGUGACUGACAAUCACAUCUCAUGACUCAAUCAAACAUAUAAUAUGCAAAUAUAUAAUCAUGAUAUUAAAUCAUAUUAUCAAAUAUAAAUGCUUCACGAAAUUCAUAUUAGUAAUAAUAGUAUCCACUCACAAAUCAUGUUUCACUUCGGGGUGUUUGUUGGGGCUCCUAUGGGUUCUUGAAUUCUUGAGUUCCUCCUAAAAUAUAAGAUUAAAAAAUUAACUAUUAAAACUGAUAUAAAAAUUGAUACGUAUCACAAAAACUGUAAUAUAACUGUUCAAACUUCAUAUAUCUAUUACCCAUUAAUUCAUUGGAUAUUAAUGUAAGUGUUUAAUUUCAUUUCCUAUAACAUUCCCUCUCAAUUUAUCUUUUAAAUUUCUUUUCCCACUCUUGGCUUCUUCCUUUCUUUUAUUUUUUUUCUUUCCUCUUCUCUUUUGCUCUCAGUUUUUCUUCUUUUUCUUCUCUGUCUCACUUCAAAAAAUGAUGCAAAAUGAGAGCUGGUUUCAAUUCCUUCAAAUUCAUAUAUGUCCACCGACUCAAGCACACAAGUAGAGCAUACGGGUGAAGCAUGCACGUGCCUUGCAUGAAGCUGGUAGCUUGCUGCUGCUUUGAUAAUUAGCCACGUUUGGCUUAUAAAGAAGCGGUGAAGCAUGCACGGUGCAUUACAUUCAUGCUAUCUACGGAAUGAUAAAAACUAAACUUCAAGUACAGCGGAGUAAAACCUGUGCACACAGCUUAACAUUUUAUGUGGCAACUCUGGAAGAAAUCUCACAAUGAAAAUAAAAAUUACAGGCGAAUGUUGCAAGUAUAUUUCAUUCAUAUGUCAAUUUUUGAAAACCUUGCUCUGUAAGUAAACCAACCAAUCUAUUUGUGACAAAUGGGAACAAGACAGUAACCUCCUUAUUUGAUGAUAUGCAGCAUUUGCAGAAGCUGAAACAGUAAACAUGGGAAUGAAAGGAUUAGAAUCAUUUGAUAUAUUUUUUUUUAACUAGAAUUACUUCCACCGUAACUGAUAUAAUUAAAUAAGAGAGAAUUUACAAACUAAUUUUUUAAAUUCUCUCAAAUAAGUAAGCAUAUUAAUUAAAAAAAUUAAAUUAAAAGUAUUUCAUUUAAUUAUUUUUUUAUUGAAAACUAAUAAUUAAUACAUAUGCAUUCUCUACAGGUUUAAUCAGGUUUUGUUGUUGUACACAUUAGUAUAAUAAGUUUAAAUGAAGUUUAAACUUUGAUAAUUUAAAUUAAAAUUCUCACAAUUAUUUGAAGAUUGUGGUUCGGUGAAAUGAAGUUUAUCCAGUAUAACAUACCAAAAAGGGGGCGGCUAAGGAGGCAGCCAGGAGGCAACCGAGAGUUAGCAAAAGAGGCAAGAAAAAGGCAACAAGCCAACAAUGAAGUCAAAAGCUCAAGAAGGGAAGCGGUGAAGCAAAUCCGACAAACGCAAGCAAGAGUUAAGCUGGCUGUUUCGCAUGACACAUGUGAAGCUUCAUCACAAGCUGGCUGUUUCGCAUGACACAUGUGAAGCUUCAUCACAAGCUGGCUGUUUCGCAUGACACGUCUAUGCUAUUUUUCUUCUGGAUUUAAUCUAUCAUUGUCGACGACGACGAUUUGCUAACCUCACAAGUGAUAAGGACUCUACAAGAGUACAAAACAGAGACUCGUAAUAUUACUGAAUAUAGCAUUUCUGUUUCCUUAUUAAUGGAGAAAGGCAGUUAUGUUUUUGCAGCGGUCAAGGGCAUUGAAGAUAUUAUGGCUUUACUUAUCAUCGUUAGCUUCCUUCUGUGUCUCCCAUUCUUCCUCUUCUUCUUUGUUUUGCAAAGGCACAAAACCUCGAAAAAUAAUACUAAAUUACCACCAGGCCCCCGGGGCCUUCCCUUCAUCGGUAACUUACAUCAGUUUGAUGUCUCAAAGCCUCAUGUGUCAUUUUGGGAACUAUCGAAAAAAUAUGGCCCCCUCAUGUCCUUGCGUCUUGGUUUUGUGCCGUCCUUAGUAGUUUCCUCAGCAAAAAUGGCUAAAGAGAUAUUGAAAACCCAUGACCUUCAAUUUUGUAGCAGGCCAGCCUUGGUAGGGCAACAAAAGUUAUCUUACAAUGGUCUUGAUUUGGCUUUUUCACCCUAUGAUGAAUAUUGGAGAGAGAUUAGAAAAAUUUGUGUCAUUCAUCUCUUAAACUCUAAUAAGGUACAAAAUUUUCGACCCAUUAGAGAAGAUGAAGUUUCAAGAAUGAUUGAAAAGAUUUCAAAAUCAGUUGCUGCUUCUAAGCUCGUAAACUUAAGUGAGGUAAUGAUGUCUCUUACUAGCACUAUUAUUUGUAGAAUUGGUUUUGGCAAGAGGUACGAUGAAGAUGAAGCAACAAGUGCAAGAAGUAGAUUCCAAGCCUUGCUUAAUGAAACUCAAGCCUUGUUUGUAAGCUUUUUUGUUACAGAUUAUUUUCCUUUCAUGGGCUGGAUUGAUAAGUUCACAGGAAAGAUGCAACGUCUGCAAAAUAACUUCCAAGAACUUGAUAGAUUCUACCAGGAACUCAUCGACGAGCAUUUGGAUCCAAACAGAACAAAAUCAAAAUUGCCGCAACAGGAGGAUAUAAUUGAUGUUUUACUUCAAAUAAGAAAAGAUCGUGGAUUUAAAGUUGACCUGACUUUGGAUAACAUCAAAGCAGUGCUCAUGGUGGAUAAUUUUAUAAAUAGUUAUAUGUAGACUCGUGCUUAGGCGCAGACUCAAAAUUUUGUGCAGAUGCCCAAUUUUACAGUGUUGUAAAACGUUUUAUAAUGCUGUAAAGUGCUCUUUGACGUCUCCGCCUGAGCAUGAUUAAUUUAAUAUAAUUUUAUUCGCUUUAACUAAUUUAAUAUGUAUAUUGUUUGCUUUGCAGAACGUAUUCGUUGCUGGAACAGACACAAGUGCAGCAACUGUGGUUUGGGCCAUGACCUAUCUAACGAAGAAUCCUAGAGCAAUGAAAAAAGUUCAACUGGAAAUUAGAUCGUUGAUUGGGGGCAACAAAGGCUUUGUAAAUGAAGAUGAUGUUCAAGAACUACAUUAUCUUAAAGCCGUAGUGAAGGAGACAAUGAGAUUGCAACCUACAGUGCCGUUACUACUUCCAAGAGAAGCAAUUCAAAAGUGCAUAGUAGAAGGGUAUGAAAUACCAGCUAAAACACGUGUUUUUGUAAAUGCAUGGGCGAUAGGGAGAGAUCCUGAAGCUUGGCAGAAUCCUGAGGAAUUUUAUCCGGAGAGAUUUGUUGAUAGUUGUAUUGACUUUAAAGGGCAAAACUUUGAGUUAAUACCGUUUGGUGCUGGCAGAAGAAUUUGUCCUGGGUUGAAUAUGGGAAUUGUAACUGUGGAGCUUGCACUUGCUAAUCUUCUUUACAAAUUUGAUUGGGAAAUGCCGCCUGGAUUGAAGAGCCAUGACUUUGAUGUUCUGCCCGGACUUGCCAUGCAUAAGAAGAACGUUCUUUCUCUUCGGGCUAAGUAUCAUGUUGAGUAGGUAAAUUAAGGCACCUCCAUCAAUAAGAAGGUAAAUUAAGGCACCUCCAUUAAUAAGGGUUUGAUCUAGCUAAAGGAAAUAUAUGUUAUGCGUCCUCAAUUGUGCUUCUCAAUGUUUUCUUUCUUUCUUCUUAUGUAUAAUGGAUGUUUACGCGAAUGGUUUUUAGUAAGUAAUUUUCUUUUAGUUCAAAAUUUUGGGAGGUAAGGGCUAGAAGAUAAUAGGGACUCUGCCCACUCUCUUAUACCUUUAAAAAAAUGAUAUGAAUGUGAGUAUCAAUUUAUCACAUUUAUUUUGUCUUACAUUUUUCUCUCUCCAAUUUCAAAUUAUAAAUGUAUAUAUAAAUACACGAAACGACCAAUCAAUAUUAUUUACUUGAUAUAACUAAUAAGUAAAUUCAUGGCUUUUUCUAUCACCCCUUUUUUUGUUAGGAGUAUCAGUAAAAUCAGCUCUGUAAUGCUCUACAUCUUUACCGUGAAAGCUGCAUUUUUAUGGAAUCAGCUUACAGUUAUGUACUAACCAAAAAAAAAGAAAAAGAAUAUUACAUCAAUUCUUCAUUGAGAUUUGAGACAUUUUCUUCCUCCAGAAAGUAUACAAGUUAAAAAAACUACACAUCAUUGUGAUUUCAUAACAGCAUCAUCCAUCACUUUCCUAUGAGCUUUUUAUGAGGCCGGAGGCUAAAGCACAAUCAGUUGAGCUGUUAUUGCAUUUCCCACAGCAAGACUGUGGCAAAUCAGUUGACUUUUGACGUUAAAUGGUGGUUUCGGCUUGCAGUCACUUGUGUUUGUUCAAUUUCAAUAAAGGAAAUUUCAUUUUUGUUAAAAUCCAUGAAUAUUAAUUACUACCUUGUUCGCUGUUCAGUAAAACUAAAACAACACCAAAACUUAAAUAUUUUCGCUAUAUCACAAACUUAAAUAUUUUUUUUUUCCCCCUAUACAUCCCUAGUAAGGUUGACAGAAAAAAACCAAAUUUCAAUCGGUAUUGGGAUCCCCUCCCGAAUGAUAGGGGAUUUGGCACUAAUUUUUAAAAUCGAUUCGAUACUAAUUUUAACAAACACUUGCUUUAAACCAACUUAUUCUUCUACCACAUAAUUUACUUAACUUUCAUUACAUGAAAAAUAGUCAUUUUUUUUACCUAACUUGUUCGACAAUAGUUAAAUAUGUUGGUGAGAGGGCAGUUUUCAAUUGUAAAAAUCAAGACAUCGAGAAAAACUAAAAUGGCUAUUUGGUUUUUCUAAUGAAAAACUAAAACAACUAUAUGGUUUAGCGUGAAAUUUUAGCUUCAUUGGUAUUUAUGACGAUUGUAACUAACCAUUAAAAAUGCAUAAUUAUUUUCUACCUGUAGUGAUUUAGGUGCUGUAGAAUUCGAUUAGCAACCUAAGCACUGCCCAAGAUCACAAACCAGAUCCACUAGAUGCUAAGAACCCAAACAAUCAAGCUUUAAGUUUCAACAAAACCUUUAACGAAAAUGGCUUAAUCAGAACACACUCAGAACAAGAAUUAGAAACCAAUCACACCCAAAAGAAAGAGAAAUAUUUACGUGGUUCGAUUGUGCAAAGAAGCACAAUCUACAUCCACGGGAGAAGCCCACAGAGCAAGCUUUAUUGAUGAUUCAAGUAAUCUUUACAGAGCAAUACAAGAGCUAACUACUAGGAUCAAGACGAAGCUUUCUCUCUAUCUUAACUCUCUCUAUCACGCUCUCAGAUCAUCCAUGAAACUGCUUCUUUAACCAGCUUAUAUAGCAGCUGAUAAAGAACCCAGAAGUUGCAGAUUUCCGCCACCUGGACUAACAGCUUCUAACUGAUUUGAUUCUCCACCCCCCGUGCACUUCACAUGUUUCACUUAAGCCUUUUGCCGAAACGUCUCCAGCUCCUGCCGUUUUGAACUUAAGUGAAUCACAUGCCAUGCUCGUGACUCCUGAGUAUAUUAAACAUAUUCCAAACGUUGUCGUUUAACAUGCUCAAGUUUUGGAUUCAACAUUUUAGUCCACACUACCGUUUCAAAAACAUAGUCGAAAAUAAAAUAAUAUUUUCAAUUAUUGUAAUUUUUAAUCAAAAAUAGGAAAAUAUUUUUAAACGUAACUAGGAGUUGGUUGAAAAAACCAUUAAAAAGAUAUAAAAUUUUAACAGACAACAUGGGCACCAAUAAUGUUUUUCACUACUAUAACUUGCAAGGUUGGUCAAAGCAAAAGCUGUAAGGGUAAGUAAAUAUAAUAUAAAAUUAUAUAUCAUCUAAAAGAAAAGUAAUUGUACGUUUUUUUUUCUUAGUUUACUAUUUUUUUUAUCAAACAUGAACUAGAUAAUUAAAUAAUUAAUUAAUUAAUGUAUUUUUUUUAUAGAAUUAAUUAAUGUACUUAAUUGAAAAUAAAAUUAACUUCUACGAUGCAAACAGAAUUUGAGCCCUCAACUGAAAAGAUAAAAUAUGAAAGUGCCUACCACUGGAGCAAGAAAUAAUUUUCAGUAAAUUAUAAAUUAAAUAAUUAUGAAAGGAUUGAUUUUUUCUAAAGGUUUUACUAGGUGCAACAAUGGAAUUGAAUUACCUUAUUUAACUUAGAAGAUAUUGAUUGAUUACAGCAUAGAUAUAAUGUAUGAUAUCUUAAAUUAAACAUCAAUUAACUUCGAAAUUAUAUUGUAGUUCAAAUAAACUCGAUAAUAUUUAUGAUCACAUUCUAUCUUAUACACAAACUUGAAACUUAUGUUAUUGAUUAAGUCUCAACUAUUUUAAUCAUUAUCAUUGAAUCAAUUUAGAAAUUGAUUAUCGAACUAGCUGGUAUUUUAUAGUUAAGUAUUUAAAGAAAUAAUGUCUAUGAUUGAUCAUAAUUAUUGUUGAAUCAAUUUGGAGACUAGCUAAUUUUCAAAUUAAUGUAAUUAUCUAGUGGUCAAUUUCAAUAAAUAGAGUCUAAUAGUUUUCAUAGUUGUAUUAUACUCAUAAUUGUGGAACAUGGAACGUAUACUUCAUACUUAAAACUUAUUGCAUAUAUUAAAAAAAAUAGAUGAUUAGUAAUUAACAUUUAAUUAUAGUUGAAAUAUUAAUUAUUAAAUUAGUCUAAUUGUCUAAGAACAGUCAUACAAUUAAUUUCAAUAGAUAACAAGAACUAUUGCAAUAAUUUUUUUAUAUUUUAAAACAUAUCUCAACUAUGAAUUAUUAAAACUAAUAUAGCUUCAUAGUUUUUAGGCCAAUAUCUAUUUUCAUCUUUUGUUUAUCUUAUUAAUUUAAAUUUAAAAUCUAUGUUAAAUAAUAAAGAUGUUCUAUCAAUCAAUUUAGGCUAUAGAUUAAUUAAACAAUCUAGUAAUCACAUAAUAGGUAUUACAUAUAAUUGUUCAAUUAUAAUAAACUUUAAAUUUGCAUUAAUGAGAUAAGAAGUUUUGUUUUGCAAUUAAUCGAAUCGUAUGCUAAUAAUUUUCAAUAUUUAUUAUUAUUUCAAUAUUUAUUAGUAUGAAAUAACUAACUUAGGAUAAAUAAAUUGAUUGAUUGAUUUUUUCUUAAAUUUUAAUAUCUUGUAUUAUCUCUAUUAACUAUUUGGUCCACUGCCACCUAACUAAAGUUUUUAGUGCAAGUGUAUGUGUACCUAUUCUCCACUCUCUCUAACAAAUAUCUCAAUUAGCCACCGAAUCAAAUCUAAUAAUAGAAUAAAUAAAUAAAAGCCACCGAUAUUAAGCGCAACGGAUGAAUUCAUCUCCUCUUCUUUUGUAUAUUCUCUCCAAAGCUUUCAACUCUAUUUUGGGGUCAUUUUCUUAAUUUUUUUUAAUUAAACUAUAUAGAAACUGGGGAGAUGUUUUCAGAUAUUUAUUAAUUUUUAUCCUUCACCUUUAAUUUCUUAAGUUUGACAUCAGUUAUUGUUGGCCUCACUCUCACAUGGUUGGUUUGAAGCUUUUCUAUCAUGUAGUUCGGUGAAAAUUAUUUGAUUAAUCGUGACUUGCAGGUAAGAAUUAUAUUAUUAUUUUGUGUUAUGUUUUUAAUUUAUUAGAUUUUAAUUCACAAUUUAUUUGAUAACAAGUGAAAGAGAUGUUAAUUAGGAUAGAUUCAUUUUCUUGUUUAGUAUAUAGGAUUUUCUACUUUAAUUUAAUUGUAUCUUAAUAUUUUUUUUAUUGUUAUCAAGGGAAUUAAGAGCCUAGGAAGAAAAAAUUAUGAUAUUCAACUUUCAUAAGGAUUCAGUUGCUCAAUCCACAUUGAUUCUAUCUUUUAUCAACAGCAAAAUAUCAUUGCAAGAGUGCCAUGUAGCCUUUGGUGUAUUUUAUUUUAUUUAAAUAUUUGUCAUGGAUUCAAUGAUUAAUACGUAUUUAUUUUAUCUUUUAGUAGCAUUAAGUUAUUGUAAUAGCAUCAUGUAGCUUUAAGUCAUUGUAAUGGUGUCUUGUAGCACUUGUACUUUGUUUGAGUUGCACAUGUAUUUGUUGAAAUUAUUUAUAAAAGGAUAUUUGUCGAUUGAUUCAUUGAUUUUUUUCUCCUGAGGCAAUUAAUAAAACCAUUUUCAGCCAUAUAUAUUUGUCUACUAAUUCAUCAUUUUUUUUCCUAGAGGCGAUUAAUAAAAUGAUUAUUUUAACGAUGAAGUAGAAUCAAAUGAAUUUCAAUAAUCAUCUUCUUGGAAAUACUAAGAUUCAAUUAGAACUAAUAUUUAUUCGACUAUAAUUUAUUUUUUCCAACUGUUUUUACCCCUAAAAAAUAGUGUAUUUUUAAUGGUAAUUAGUUAGUUGAAAUUGAUAUUGCAAAUACAACUGCUAUCGAAAAUACUCUUUUUUACUACUUAAGGUGGUCAUAAAUAUCAGUCAUUAGUCACAUGUCCAUAUUAAUUUUCAAUCUAUAUUUAUGUAUUUAUGAUUGUCAAUUUCGCACCAAAUAAGCAUAUUUACGGCGGCCAAUCGGUAAAAGUGUGUUUCUAACCUGGGUAUUAGCGAUUACCAGCGACUGAUUAAGGCCAUUGGAAAAACAUAUUUUCAACAGUAUAGCACUUGUUUCAACUGCAUUCAGCAGUUAUAAAAAGUUAUUUUUCUUGUAGUAUAUUUAUACCGCACAUUUUGACUACCACUAAUUUAAGUUGCCUGAUGAACAUAUUUACCACACAUAAAAACUAAAAUAUCUGAGAUAUUUCUUUAGAUAUUUCUAUAGAUAUUUUAACAUUUUAGAUUACAAUAUUUUUCAACACUUGAUUUAAUCACCAAUCGUUGACUAUGAUGACGACAAAAAAUCUAUUUCAUUGUGCUAACCUCACAAGUGAAAAGGACUCCACAAGAGUACAAAACAGAGCCUUGAUCUAAUAAUAUUACCGAAUAUAGCAUUUUGUUUCCUUAUAAAUGGAGAGAGGUUCUGUCUUUGCACUGCAUAACAGAUAUUAAUGGCUUUACUUAUCGUCAUCAACUUCCUUAUGUGUCUCUCAAUCUUCGUCAUCUUCUUUGUUUUGACAUCAAUUUUGUUGGCCUCACCCUUGGCUGAAAGCUUUUUCUGUCAUGUAGAACGGUGAAAAUUAUUUGAUUAAUUGUGGCUCGUAGGUAAGAAUAAUUAUUGUUUUUUGUGUUCAUGUUUUUAAUUUAUUGGAUUUUAAUUCACAAUUUAUUUUAUAACAACUGAAAGAGAUUUUAUUUAGGAUAGAUUCAUUUUCUUGUUUAGUAUAUAGGAAUUUCUACUUUAAUUUAAUUGUAUCGUAAUUUUUUUUUUAUAUAUAUUGUUAUGCGGUGAAUCAAGAGACCUAGGAAGAAAAAAUUAUGGUAUUCAACUUUCAUAAGGAUUCAAUUGCUCAGUCCAUAUUAAUUCUAUCUUUUAUCAACACCAAAAUAUCAUUGCAAGAGUGCCGUGUAGCUUUUGGUGUAUUAUUUUUUAUUUAAGUAUUUGUCAAAGAUUCAAUGACUAAUACAUAUUUAUUUUAUCUUUUAGCAAUAUUAAGUCAUUGUAGUAGUAUUGUGCAAUAGGGAUGACAAAACCCCGGGCCGGGUCCGGGUAUUGCAAUGACCGGACCCUACCCGGAUGCAACCGGUCCGGGUCCAGGUCUGGGCCGGGUUUUAAUCCGAGUACCCGAAUUUUAUAUUUUUUAAUAUUAUAUGUGUAUAUAUUUUUUAUUUUUUGGUAAUUUUAUAAGUUUUAAAUUUAUUUCAAUAAAAUUUGACAUGAAAAUAUAAACUUUAAGUGUUUAAAACUUUAUAUAUGUAUAAUAAAUUAGUCAAAUAAAUAUAAAUAUUUAAAAUAAUAUAUAUUUUAUAAUAUUUUUGUAAUAAAAUCCGGGUUCUGGGUUUAUCAAGUGAUGUCCAAGACCGACCCGGCUUCAUACCCGGCCCAUAACGCCCGGGUACGGUUCGGGUCCAGACCGGGCGGGUAUUUUUGCCACCUCUAUCUUACAUCUUUAAGUCAUUGUAGUAGUGUGGUGUAGGAUUUGUAUUUUGUUUAAGUUGCACAUGUAUUUGUUGAAAUUAUUUAUAAAAGAAUAUUAUUCCACUAAUCCAUUGAUUUUUCUUUUUUCUAUGGGGCAAUUAAUAAAAUCAAUUUGGGCCAUAUAUUUGUCAAUUAAUUCAUUGAUCAUUUUCCUAGGGGUCCAGCUACCUUGCGUCAUGGGUUUGGUACCGCAGUUGUUUGUCUCUUAGCGAAUGACCCUUUAGAUUGUACUGAAUGCAUUCUGCACUAUGGUCCAAUAAUUCUCUUUCAAAUACACUUAGGUCCCCAAAUCAAUAGCUCAAUUCUUCACAUUCAAUUUAAAGCUUUUUUUAACUUCAUUAUCAUUUAUUUAUCAAACAUCACAUACCUGAUGCAGAUCCACCAGGUGUUGAGUUUCUACCAGCAUUCACUCUUGAGCUUGAUGUUGUUUCCAAGUUCUUGCAACGCUUCUGCUUGGCACAGAGAAGUAAAUUUUGUAAGUAAGUACACUCAAUCAAAUACUUCAUACUUAACAUUGAUUGCAUAUAUUAAAAAAAAUGUUAGAUGAUUAGUAAUUAACAUUUAAUUAUAGUUGAAAUAUUGUUUAUUAAAUUAGUCUAAUUGUCUAAGAACGGUCAUACAAUUAAUUUCAACAUAUAAAAAAACUAUUGCAAUAAUUUAUUUAUAUUUUGAAACAUAGCUCAACUAUGAAUUAUUAAAACUAAUAUAGCUUCACAGUUUUUGCAUCAAUAUCUCUUUUCAUCUUUCGCUUAUCUUAUCAAUUUAAAUUUAAAAUCUAUGUUAAAGAUGUUCUGUCAAUCAAUUUAGGCUAGAGAUUAAUUAAACAAUCUAGUAAGCACAUAAUAGGUAUUAUUAUUAAUUGUUCAAUUAUAAUAAACUUUCAAAUUGCAUUAAUGUGAUAAGAAGUUAUAUUUUGCAAUUAAUCGAAUCAUAUGCUAAUAAUUUGCAAUAUUUAUCAGUAUGAAAUAACUAACUUAGAAUAAAUUAAUUAAUUGAUUGAUUUUUUCUUAAAUUUGAAUAUCUUGUAUUAUCUCUAGUAACUGUUUGGUCCACUUAAUUACUAAAAUCCCACCUAACUAAAGUUUUUUGUGCAAAUGUAUAUUUACCGUAACCCACGUUCUCCAUGCUCUCUAACAAAUCUCUCAAUUAGCCACCGAAUCAUAUCCAUUAAUAGAAUAAAAAUAAAAGCCACCGAUAUUAAGCACAAUGGAUGAAUUCAUCUCUACUUCUUUUGUAUAUUCUCUCUAAAGCUUCAAACUCUAUUUUAGGGUUAUUUUCUUAAUUCUUUUGAAUCAAGCUAUAUAGAAUCUGGGGAGAUGUUUUCAAAUAUUUAUUGAAACGACCCGCCCCGAAUCAACCCAGACGAGUUUAUCUAGUCUCAUCAAAACGGACUUGAUAAUAAUUUUAUUCGUAAAGAUUCUGCCGAAAAUUCGGCAGAGUCUCCUUUAUAUAUAUAACACUCCCAAUCUACAAAUAUGAAUAUAACACUCUCAAUACAAGUCAAUAUACAACAAACUCUAGUGCUCAACAUCCUCAACCAAAAUGCUGAGUUUUAUAUCUCCAGAGUCUCAAAAGAUAAUAUUAUAACUAAUAUUAAUAUCUCAAUUUAUUCUUAAUCCCAAAAAGAAUAAUAUAACAAAAGUAUACAAUCCCAAAAGAACAAGAUGACCAAGAUAUCCUAACAAAAACAUUUAUAUCUUCUAACACCAUCACGUGACCAAGACUCAAAAUAUAUUUACAGUCGCUGGGUCGGUCUGGUGUACCUGCAACCUCCUGGUGAGGGGGGAAAAAUAUAAUAAAAACGGGAUGAGUCUAAAACUCAGUGAGAUCAGUGAGUGGAUAGUAGUUUUGAAAAUUAAUUCUUACUUUAAAAGAAAUAAUCAUAUCAUUUCCAAACAUGAUUGCACUAAACCAUAAGCGAGAAACCAGAAAUAAAUAAUUAAACAUUUAAAUCAGAUUACUAACCAUGGAAAUCAUAUCACAAUAUCAUAUAGAAUUCACAAAUCUGAAAAUCAUCACCAAACAAGUACCCAGGGAAAUAAUCUCGUCAUAUCCGGACCUCAACGGACGAGCAAUGACGUACUAUCUGGGUAACGUCACGCCCCGGAGCUACACGGAUAGACAGGGAAAUACCAUCUCAUAUCUCAUCAUAUCCGUGCAUGCAUAAUCUAGUCCCCAAAUGACAAAAACACCCAAGCACAUGGCCCAAAGCCUAUGUGUGUACUCAGACGGGCCCCAAAGGCCUGUAUCUCAUCUGUAUCAUUUGUAUCUCAAUAUCUGUUUGUAUCUUAUAUCUGUAUCUCUGUAAUCAUCAUACCGCAUGCAUAUGCCCCCAAAAGGCAAAAACGCCCAAACACAUGGCCCAAAGCCUCUAUGUGUGUUCAGACGGGCCCCAAAGGCCUCUCAUCUCAUAUCACCUGUAUUACUGUAUCUGGAGGAGAAGGAUACUGUCUAAUGAUUUCAAAAACAAUCAUUAUACUCAUAUUCACAUACCUUUUAAUCAUACUUUAAAUCAUACCACAUUCAAAUCCACUUUUCUUAUCUUUAAAAUAUUAUCAUGCUUUAUUCAAAGUCGAUACGCAAAAUCAAUAACCAAACAUUUUAAUAAAAUACCAAUGCGUGAAUAAAAAUCCAUUUCGAGGAAAUCAUUAAAUCAGAACAUUUAAAAUACUUAUUUCACAAACAUGCAUUACUAUCAUAAUUAACUAUGAAAAUAGGUUUUGUAUAUUCCACUCACAGUGACGGUGUUCACGGUCGGUUAUCGUCCACGUCCGCGGACCGGUUCUCGCUCGCGGAUCCUCCUAAAUCAAGGAAACGACAUAAUUAUUUUCCGUAAAUCGGAAUUACGGCUAAAUUUAUGCAAUAAACUCGAAACGAACAUCUAUCCAUAAUUGACAACUCCCGUGUCCAUAAAAUUACUAAAAUGCCCUUGAGUCCGUAAAUCAUUAACACAUACUCUGAAAUUGUACAACACCGAAUUACCCUCGGAAUCGUAAUUACACCCACUCCUCAAUUCUAGGAAUUACUAAAAUAUCCACAGGCUCAGAAAUUACAAAAUUGCUCUCAUAGUGUGAAAUUACCAAAAUGCCCUUGCCGGUCAACGGUCACAGGAAUUUGGUCAACGCUGGUUAGGAAGCUCAAAUCUGAAAGUUCAAAUCACGCUGAGUUCAAUGGUACCGGCGGUGAGCUCCAUGCGCGGCAACGGCGCCGGAAUCGAGCUCGACAGCCGUGAAUUCCAACAAUCGACCGGCGGCAAAAUAGUGACUCUCGGUGCCUAUGGAUGGUCGGAAAUGGAAGAGGGAGUCGUGGGGAACAAGAUCCAACCGGUGGUGUCACCCAAAACCGGCGAAAAUCCCGGCGGAGUAAAGUGAAACAAUCGCGGGUUCAAGCUUCAAUUGCCGGCGUUCCGGUUGGUUUUCGGCGGCGAGGAUGGCACGGGAACGACGGUCGGCUUCUAAGCUUCAGAUUGGUACCAAGCUCGGCUGAAACGGUGGCCGGAAAUGGGAGAUAUGGUCGGGUCAAGGUCGCCGGUUCCGGGUCGAGUUUUCGGGUCCGUAGUUGGAUCGGUUUGGCAGUUUCCCUUCACUCUCUCUCACACGUGCAUGUUUUUACCCUGUUUCCAGCUUAUUCUUUUACUUAUAAACUCCUUAACCGCCUCAUUUUCAUUUUGAAAUUCACAUAUGUUACAUUUAUUACCUUUUGUCCUUCACCUUUAAUUUCUUAAGUUUGACAUCAGUUUUGUUGGCCUCACCCUUGGCUGAAAGCUUUUUCCGUCACGUAGAUCGGUGAAAAUGAUUUGAUUAAUUGUGGCUCGUAGGUAAGAAUAAUUGAUGGUUGUCGAAGUCAGUAAAAAUAAAUACUUACUCUAAAUAAAUUGUGUAUAGUGAUUGAGCAGGGUCGUGUCCACAGAGAUCGGUAAUAUUUAAAUCUUUUUUAAAAUGUAAAUUGCAAAAUGGGGGGAUUGUUGAUAAUAAUAAAAAUCAAAUUAAAAUUGGGAAAAGCUUUAGUUGAAGGAAUUAACUCAGCUUGAUUCGACUACUGAUCAUUAAUUCAAAUAUAAAUCAUUACUACUUAUGAAUAGACCGGUUAUAGCUACUGAGACCCUCUAAUAGCUAAUCUCUCAUUAACUAGUCGAUAACCAAGGUACGACCAUUGGUUAUUUCCCUAAUCAAUAGAUAACCCUAGAUACGAUCAUAAAAUUUAAUCAAUUGACAGCCUGAAAAAUCAGAGAGACCCAAAUCCUAAUCAACAAACGCAUACGAUGGUUCAUUUAAAUUAGAUUGUUUAUUCUCAUAACACAACGCACUACUAUGCUAUUUGUCACAAAUAUUAAAAUCUUCAUACGAUGAAUCCUUUAAUUGACAAUAGAUUAAGUUGAUAAUUAAAUAGUGGCCAAUUAUCUAAUUAACAAACAUAAUCAUGACAAUAAUUUAGAGAAUAAACAAAUACCCAAAAAGUAAUAAAAUAAUUAAAGCAUAAGAAAGAUCUCACAGUAAUGAUGAAUCAAAGCUUCAUUAAUCUUCAACCAGAAUAAUAGGUUUAGUUAUUCACAGAGAAAAGAGAAAAAUUUAGAUCUAGGGUUUUUUUUUUACAAUAGAUUCCCCCCUUUAAUUCUCUCUCCCCUCUUCUCCUCUAGAGUUCUUUUUAAAAUAAAAUACUAAUAUCUAUUAUCUAAAUAUUAAAUUCGGAAUUACAAAAAUAACCAAAAAGAUAAAACACGUUAAACUAAUAACUGCAGAUCCGUAGUUGACAAUACGCGUCCACGCCUUAUCAACAAAGUUCUUCUGAAGCUCAUAAUUUCUCCAGGAAAACAAUCAUCCUAAAAAAUCAUCUUGUAGCUCAACUUUAUUACCAAUCAAUAGAAUUACACCUACAGAAAUAAAACACAAGUAAAUCACUAUUAUUAAGUGCAAAACAUCGAUAUUAAAGAAAGUAAACAAUGCAAAACUAGAGCAUAAAUUGCACUCUAACAAUAAUUAUUGUUUUUUUGUGUUCAUGUUUUUAAUUUAUUGGAUUUAGUUCACAAUUUAUUUUACAACAACUGAAAUAGAUGUUAAUUAGGAUAGAUUCAUUUUCUUGUUUAGUAUAUAGAAUUUUCUACUUUAAUUUAAUUGUAUCUUAAUUUUUUUUUUUGUUUAUAUAUUGUUAUGCAGUGAAUCAAGAGACCUAGGAAGAAAAAAUUAUGGUAUUCAACUUUCAUAAGGAUUCAAUUGCUCAGUCCACAUUAAUUCUAUCUUUUGUCAACACCAAAAUAUCAUUGGAAAGAGUGCCGCGUAGCUUUUGGUGUAUUAUCUUUUAUUUAAUUUUUUGUCAAGGAUUCAAUGACUAAUACAUAUUUAUUUUAUCUUUUAGCAACAUUAAGUCAUUGUAGUAGCAUCAUGCGGCUUUAAGUCAUUGUAGUAGUGUCGUGUAGGAUUUGUAUUUUGUUUAAGUUGCACAUGUGUUUGUUGAAAUUAUUUAUAAAAGAAUAUUAUUCCACUAAUCCAUUGAUUUUUCUUUUUUCCAUGGGGCAAUUAAUAAAAUCAAUUUGGGCCAUAUAUUUGUCAAUUAAUUCACUGAUCAUUUUCCUAGAGGGGAUUAAUAAAAUGAUAAUUUUAACGAUGAAGUAGAAUAAAAUGAGUUUCAAUAAUCAUUUUCUUCGAAAUACUAAAAUUUAAUUAGAAAUAUAAAUUUUUUCAAACUAAAAUAACAUAUUUUCAAUUGCAUAACCAAUUAGAACUAAUAUUUUUCCGAUUUUUUUUCAUCUGUUUUUACCCCUAGAAAAUAGUGUAUUUUUAAGAGUAAUCAGUUAGUUGAAAUUGAUAUUGCAAAUACAACCGCAAUCGAGAAUUCUCUCCUUUACUACUUAAACUAGAAAAUAGAACCGCGUUUCACGCGGCUUUGAAAAAAUUUAGUAUUAUCUUUUUUUCUUACUUUACACUUGAUGAAAUUGAUAAAAAAUAUGAAUUGAUUUUUUUUUUAAGAUGAGGCGGCCUUAUAAAAAAUAAAAAAAGAUAUUAGCCAGCAAUACAAAUAAAGAAGCAACGCAAGAUAAAGAAUAAAAUGAGAUAAUAUAUUAUAGAGUGAUUUUAUUCAUUCUAAUUGUGUGUGUACAAAAUAAAAAGAUGAGCUCUCCUUUUUAUAGUUACAUAAUCACUCCAUGAAAUUAAUGAAAAAUUAUGGAUCAUAAUUCAUUGUGAGAUAGUGGGAGUUAUAGGGAAGCUAAAGGUUGCUAAUGGGAGAUAGUGGGGAGACUAAGAGAUAUAUGUUAUGAACAUCUACAUUUAUUUUAAUAAAUUCAUAACACUCCCCCUUGGAUGUUCAUUACAAAGAAUAUGCCUCAUUAAAAUCUUUACAUAAUUGUUAUUGUGUAAUAACAAUCAAAUUAAUUAUGAAAAGAUGAAAAGCCAAAUCUAAAAGAAAAUUUAUCUAUUUAUUAGAUAAUAGAGAAUAUACAAAGAUGAGAAAUUGUGAUGCCACAUCACCUCCUCAAAUCCCAACUUUAUAUAUAUAUAUAGAUUGGUCAUGAAUAUGAGUCCUCAGUCACAUGUCCAUAUUAAUUUUGAGAAAUUUAUAAAAAUGACCAUAGAACUUUUACGUUUUUCAACUUUAACCCCCCAAAAUUUUUUCUAUCAUAACUAGCCAAAUAUCUUAUUUUUGGACUAGAUUACCCUCAUCACUUUCAUCAAAUUCACAAAGGUAUGCCACUUUUUCAAUUCCAGCACCACUAAAUACGAAUCUUCCUCAACAACUUAACAAACCUUCAUCACUCUCAACAAACUUCAUCACUCUCAAUAAAUCAACAAAUUCCAUCAAACAAACAUUGCAUAAUUGAAGAUACAAUCAUCAAUUGGAGAGCUUCUUAAAAUUAGUUUAUGCUCUUACACAAUGUAAACCUUUAAUCUAUUGAUUUUAUCAACUAAGUUCGAAAUUAAAGUGGGUUUUGUUGCAAAUGUUGUUAUUUUUCAUUCAUAAAACAAUGUGAUUUGUUAAAGUACUUAGUUUGAGUUGAGAAAUGAAGAAAAAUCAUUAAAAAUACAGAAAAAUCGGGCAAAAAAUGAAGUCCAAAACAAGUGAGACAAGCAGUGAGACAUGUGUCUGUCUCACAUAAACCCACUGAUUUUAUGGAAUAUAUGAUUUUGGAUUUGAUUUGUCUCGUCGUAAGCUUCGAAACGGUAUAAUUAUUACAAUAUUUUGGCUCACUACUCCGAACCCCAAUACACAUAAUCUCUCAAAUCACUAGAACAAGAGCUUUUAUUAUUUAAGCUCUACAAAACUCUCUGCUCUACAGGAAAUGCUUCUCACAAAAUUGGAUGCAGAAAUGAGGAGGAGGAACCUCUUUUUAUACCAAAACUUGGCUACUGUUCAUGCUUUAUUUAAUUAUUAUUUUUUUUCUUCUUCCUUUUCGGUCCGGCAUUCAUUUUUUCUUCCUCUUUUGUCUUCUUUCUUCUUUUCUUUUGUUCCGGUCAAAGAAGCAACCAAUGCAUUCUUCUUCAAAAUCAGUGGGCCCACCUUCUAGAAGGGUGGUGCCCACAUGCCAUUUUCAUCAUUAAAUAGAUGAGGGUUGGAAUAGAAUCUUUUCAAUGUGAAUCAUGAAGGAUCUAUUCAAAAUAAAAGUGAUAAAGAUUAAGAAAGAACUUAAGAAGCUAAGAGCUUUUAGAAGUCUUUGAAGAAAUAAUAUUAAUUUGAAAGGAAAAGAAUUUAAAAUGAAGAAGAAAAAGAUAAUUGAUAAGAAGUAAGACUAACUGUACAUCUGAUUGAGGAACAGGCUUGUUAAUUCAAACUAUUAUAACCAAUUGGGAAUUGAAUUAAGUUAACAGUUAACUCGUAAUUGAAUGUCUAAACUAACAAUGUAUACAAUUACAGAUGAGACUAUAAAAUUGCAAAAAUACUGCUGAUUGUGAAUCAAUUUGAACAUGCCAAUCCUUAGGAAUUCCUUUCAGUAUCAUGGGAUUUAGAUCUCAAUUACCUUUUUUAUUUGAGUACGAUGACAUCCCGAACUAUCAAAAAUACCCACUUGUCCAAACGUGCCUAUGUCCACUUUAUCAUUUAUAUAUGAAAUGUUCUAAUUAAAUGGAGCAAGUCCACAUAAUACAAUCAUUUUCAAUUACCCAGCAUUUGGAAUACAGAUGCUUUGUUUCUUCGUUUUUUUUAUUUUUUGUUCUUUUUUAUUUACUUGAUACAACUAAUAAGUAAACUCAUAGCAUUUUCUAUCACCUCUUUUUUUUUUGGGAGUAUUAGUAAAUCAACUCUGUAAUGCUCUGCCUCUUUACCAUAAAAGCUGCAUUUUAAUGGCAUCAGCUUACAGUUAUGUGUACUAAGUAAAACAAUUCUUUAUUGUGACAUUUUCAUCCUCCAGAAAAUACAUAAAUAAAAUAAAGGAAAUUUUAUUUUUGUUAAAAUCCAUGAAUAUUAAUUACUACCUUGUUCACUGUUCAGUAAAAAUAAAACAACAGUUUUUUUUUUUUUUAAUUUAACAAUAUUGUGUUAGAAUAUACUUCCCAGGUAAGGUUGAUAGAAAAAACCAAAUUUCAAUCAGUAUUGGGAUUCUGUCCCAAAACAAGCACUUACUUAUUACAACUUUUACUAACUUAUUUUUCCACCACACAAUUUACUCAAUUUUUAUUUAUACCACACAAUUUAACUUAUUUUAACUACCACUAACUUAAGUUACUUGGCUAGGGUAAAAUUAUGUUGCAACUGUGGUAUGAUACCACAAUUACAAUCAAUCAUUAAAUUUACAGUUGUACAAUUGUAUUUAUUGGACCUAAUGAUUAAAAGUAACUGUGGUAUCUUGCAACAUAAUUGGACCUACUUUGCUAACAUAUUAUAGAAACCAACAUCCCAGAUUUUUCUUAAGAUAUUUCUACAGAUAUUUUAACAUUUUAGAUUAUAAAUUACUUUUCAACACUUAAUUUAAUCACUGAUUGUUGACGACGACGAAGCCAACAAAUUUGUUUCGUUGUGCUAAUCGGACAAGCGAUAAGGACUUCACAAGAGUACAAAACAGAGCCUCGAUCUAAUAAUAUUACUGAACAUAGCAUUUUUGUUUCCUUAUUAAUGGAUUUGUUUCCUUAUUAAUGGAGAGAAGCAGUUCUGUUUUUGCAGUGAUUAAGCGCAUAGAAGAUAUUAAUGGCUUUACUUAUCAUCAUCAACUUCCUUUUGUGUCUCCCCUUCUUCCUCUUCUUCUUUGCUUUGCAAAGGCUCAUAACCUCAAGAAAUAAUACUAAAUUACCACCCGGCCCCUGGGGCCUUCCCUUAAUCGGUAACUUACACCAGUUUGAUGUCUCAAAGCCUCAAGUGUCAUUUUGGGAGCUGUCACGGAAAUAUGGCCCCCUCAUGUCCUUGCGUCUUGGUUUUGUGCCAUCCCUAGUAGUUUCCUCAGCAAAACUGGCUAAAGAGAUAUUAAAAACCCAUGACCUUCAAUUUUGUAGCAGGCCAGCCUUGGUAGGACAACAAAAGUUAUCUUACAAUGGUCUUGAUUUGGCGUUUUCACCCUAUGAUGGUUAUUGGAGAGAGAUAAGAAAAAUUUGUGUCAUUCAUCUCUUUAACUCUAACAGGGUAGAAAAUUUUCGACCCAUUAGAGAAGAUGAAGUUUCAAGAAUGAUUGAAAAGAUUUCAAAAUCAGUUGCUGCUUCUAAUCCCGUAAACUUAAGCGAGGUAAUGAUGUCUCUUACCAGCACCAUUAUUUGUAGAAUUGGAUUUGGCAAGAGGUAUGAUGACGAUAAAGCAACAAGUGCAAGAAGUAGAUUCCAUGCCCUGCUUAAUGAAACUCAAGCCUUGUUUGUAAGCUUUUUUGUUACAGAUUAUUUUCCUUUCAUGGGCUGGAUUGAUAAGCUCACAGGAAUGAUGCAACGCCUGCAAAAUAACUUCCAAGAACUCGAUAGAUUCUACCAGGAACUCAUCGACGAGCAUUUGGAUCCAAACAGAACAAAAUCAGAAUUGGCGCAACAGGAGGAUAUAAUUGAUGUUUUACUUCAAAUACGAAAAGAUCGUGGAUUUAAAGUUGACUUGACUUUGGACCACAUCAAAGCGGUGCUCAUGGUGAAUAAUUUUAUAAAUAGUUAUAUGUAGACUCGUGCUCAGGCGCAGACUUAAAAUUUUGUGCAGAUACCCAAUUUUACAGUCUUGUAAAAUGGUUUAUAAUGCUGUAAAGUGCCUUUGAUGUCCGCCUGAACAUGAUUAAUUUAAUGUAAUUUUAUUUGCUUUUAACUAAUUUACUAUGUAUGUAUGUAUGUUGUUUGUUUUGCAGAACGUACUCGUUGCUGGAACAGACACGAGUGCAGCAACUGUGGUUUGGGCCAUGACUUACCUAAUGAAGAAUCCUAGAGCAAUGAAAAAAGUUCAACUGGAAAUCAGAUCGUUGAUUGGGUGCAACAAAGGCUUUGUAAAUGAAGAUGAUGUUCAAGAACUGCAUUAUCUUAAAGCGGUAGUGAAGGAGACAAUGAGAUUGCAACCCACAGUACCAUUACUAAUCCCAAGAGAAACAAUUCAAAAGUGCGUAAUAGAUGGGUAUGAAAUACCAGCUAAAACACUUGUCUUUGUAAAUGCAUGGGCGAUAGGAAGAGACCCUGAAGCUUGGGAGAAUCCGGAGGAAUUUUAUCCGGAGAGAUUCGUUGAUAGCUGUAUUGACUUUAAAGGGCAACACUUUGAAUUAAUACCGUUUGGUGCUGGCAGAAGAAUUUGUCCUGGGUUGAAUAUGGGAAUCGCAACUGUGGAUCUCGCACUUGCUAAUCUUCUUUACAAAUUUGAUUGGGAAAUGCCGCCUGGAAUGAAGAGCCAAGACUUGGACUUUGAUGUUCUGCCGGGAAUUACUAUGCAUAAGAAGAAUGCUCUCUCUCUUUCGGCUAAGUAUCAUGAGUAGGUAAAUUAAGGCACCUCGGACAAUAAGAGUUUGAUCUGAACUAAAUAUAUGUUAUAGAGAUUGCAUGUAUGUCCUGAAUUGUGCUUCUCAUGUUUCCUUUCUUUCUUCUUAUGUAUAAUGAAUGUUGAUGUCUAAGUGCCCAUAGGCUGAGUGGUUUUUAAUAAUUAAAUUUCUUUUAGUUCAAAAUUUUGGGAGGUAAGGACUAGAGAAUAAUAGUUACUCUGCUCACUCUCCUAUACUAAAAAAAAAAGGUUGAUAUGAAUGUGAAUAUUAAUCUAGUACGUUCAUUUCAUCUCAUAUUUUUUCUCCUAUAUUUUUUUCUUUAAAUUUAACUUCUAUCACUUAACCUGCUAUCUUUUUAUAUGAUUGGAUAGAGAUUGAAAUUUUUGCUGUUCCAUCUCAAUGUUAAUGCUUAUAUUAUCUUCACACCUUUACUGUAAUUUUUUACUUUUACUAUUAGAUGCUGAUAGGGUCUUUUCUUGGAGAUUGCUUCACAAAAAAAAUUCUGAAAGAAGAUUUUGUUGAUCGGAUAGCAAGCUUAUCCAUAUAGUUUAAUGGAUUAUCUGCAAGAGCUCUUUUUAGUGCGCAUACAGUUGUCCCUUCAUGUUAGCAUAUUCAUUCUGUCGUCAAUGAACUUUUGCAUUUAAAUGGUAUCAGUUCAAGUGAUGAAUGAAUUUUACCUAUUGCCUAUCUUGGACUAAAUUUAAUUUCAAAAAAUGAGCUUCCAGCUUAUGACUUAUACGUAUCUUGCACUUUGGUUUUACGAUCACCAUUGGAUGGAAGAGUGGCUCGAGUUUGUUAAUUGCUUCAGUCCCAGGACUAGUGUUUGGAAACAUAAAAUUUCUCAGUUCAGCAGCUAUAAAUCUGUUUCAUGAUUGUUAUUGCACACUAUUUCCUAUAUUUUUGUCUCCAUGCUCAUACUGAAUUAGUGGUGCAUUUGUCAUCUUUCGCCUCUCAUUAAAAUGUGCUUAUUAUUUUUUAUUUCAAUCGUAGGAUGGGAAGAUUGAUACUGAUUCCAUCUACAAUGGGUUUAAAGACAACGUGAGGUUAAUGUGGGAGCGUUUCUUGUCAUCCCAGCAAAUGUUGACAUAAACAACAGACUGCAAGCUUCCCCUACUCUCUGUUCAUAUUUGCAUUUGUGUGCAUCUUGUACUUGUUGUUGCAGAAAGAUGAAUAUGUAAGAAUAAGAUCGUGUUUGUAUGCAAUGGUCAAAUGUUUUUGCAAAAAAUGUCGUUGCUUGAGUUCCUCAAUUCUCAUUCUGAACUUCAAAUUUUGUACAUUUCUUUAACUUAAUUUUUUUUUUUUCUGUGUAAUAGUAGUAUAAGUUUGGUAUCAAAAUUAAGCUAGUGACAUACUUGGAUCACUUGGGAUCCACUUGCAAAUGUAUUUUGAAGAAAAGUUUUCUCCCCGCCUUUUAUGUAAUCACACCCACCAGUAAUAUGGUAAUUUAUUGAAAGGUCCUUGAUGCCCGGUAAAAGUUAUAAUUAAAUUAAUAAACUUAUCUUUUUAAAUUAAUAAACUCAUCUUUUUGAAUAAGUUCAUCAUUUUGUACGUAUAUUAGUUUUUUUUUUUUAAAUUCCUUUUAUUUCUAAACUAUUGGUUGGAAGCAAAUAUUUCACUGUAAUCUCCUGUCGACCAAAGGAGAUGCCUUUCCCAAAGCAAGAAAAGAAAACACAAAAAGCCCACUUCAAAAACUUGUGCAAGAAGGAGAUGUGAUUACGCUGUCUUUCUGUUUCUUGGUGCGUGUAUAGAUAUAUACAUACACACAUAAGUCUGAGGACCAGCUGGCCAACAGCCCACUAGGAAGCAAUUUUAAAAUUUUUGGUCAGUAUUGUUCUUUAUAUCUUAUGAAUUUUUCCUUCAAUUAUUAUAUUUUCACUCAGUUUUGUUUUUGGGCACGCGUUAUGUGAUUUUCUUUUGAUGAUUUCCGUGGCUUCUUUUUAGCUCUUAUUUUACUGUUUCUACUGGUUAGUUUAGCUACUGUCUACUGAGAUAAAAUUAUUUGCUUGAAUAACUUAAUCUUUUGCUAUUUUAUUACGUUCAGUUUAUAUACAGUUGAUUCAUUGUAACAAAUGUUAUCAUAAAUGAUUCUUGAGUAAUUUCAUUUAUUUACUUUUUCUUCUUUCAUAGUUGGCCUGUACGGUAUCAUUUACUUUUAUCUUUUUUCAAAUUUCUUUUAAUCUACAGAAUGUUUGUUUUAGUCCUGAUCUUGGGUUACUGAAAUGUUUCAUUCCCUUUUCCUAAGUAUUUUUGUUGCUUGUUUAUCGGGCAAUACUGCAACAGUGAUUUUAAUUCACAAAAUUCUGUAAAUACUUAUUAUUCUUAGUGUGGUUUUAAGGUAGAGUGAAGUUAAUAUUAUCAUAAUGGCUUACAUUCCUCCACAUAUGAGGCAUACGAAGGACCCCCAGAGGCCAUCUCCAGUUCCAGAGAUGAUUGUGCCUAAAUUCAACAGAAAAUUAAACUUGGGAUCAUCCAAGCAUAAUGCAGACAUAAGUGGAAAGAUCGUGUAUGCAGAUCCUGCCAUACACAGGUGGUUCAUUUGUGGCUUGGAUAAUGAUAGCAGCAGUCCUUCUGUCCGCUUUGUGGAGUUUUCAGACGACCCUGUUGAGCAUAAAAAAUCGACGACCAUUAAUCUGGCUCGAGGUUACUGAUCUGCAUUUGUAAUUUUAUCUUAAAUAUGUUCUACUUUCUUUCUUUAUUUAUAUCUGGUGCUAACUUUAGUUAUAUUGACAUUUGGAUUUUGGGUUGGUAGAUAACGAUAAAUUGUGUGGGAAUACAUCAAGAAGCCCAUGGGAAUCGAUAGCAGAAAAUGUAUGGCCAGAUGUAUUGAGUGCUUGUAAUAUUGUCAAGAACGAAAUGGAGGAAAAGCCAACAAUGGUUGCUAGAUUUGGCCAUCAUCUUUUCCGUGAGUAUGUGAUCUGGUUCCAUUGCUGUAACAGCUUGAAUUUUUUAUUAGGUCAUUCCUUUUCUUUGGACUUUGAAAUUAAAGCAGCAAAAAUGCAUAUUCAUACUUAAUUCUGACAGAAAUCUUAUGGUCAUAUAAGUGGUGGCAGCUAAAAUUAUGAGCUUUACCAUUAACCCUACCACCAGCUGUGGAUGACUGUAAAUCGGAUCUCUAAACCAGGGACAAAAGUUAAAAUUGCUUUUAAAAGCCAAAGAGGAAAAUGGCAAUUUAUAGUGCAUGCACUUCUUUCAGACUUGUAUCUCAUAGAAGCUUUCAUGGCAUCUGGAAUUUGGCUUUGGCUUUGCGUAGGACAUUUCAAUUGUUGCUGGUGGAAACAAAUAUAUCCAUUGUCUUAGUUUUGCUUGAUUUCCGGUGCAAGAAACAAAUAAAUUUGUUGCCGUGGCCAAGUUUUGUUGUUUGAUAUUUCAUUGGGACAACAAAGUAUACCACUGCUUCGCCUAUUUCUUACAUCUUUGCAUCAUAUAUUUCCAUUCUUCUAUCACAUCUUUGAAGCUUCUACUAGUUCUCAUAUUAGAAGCGCCUCAAAGAAAUAAUUAUUAUAUUAUUCGUCUUAAUGAAGGAGUGACAUACUGAGCUUAGAAAAUGCGAAAGAAGGUCAGGUUGCUGAAUCUGCUUUGAGCCCACUGAGGAGAUGCUUUUACACUGGUGUCCCUCCUACAUACAUGGGAAAAAUUGUAAAUGAAGUUGUGCCAAAAAUUGGGGUUGGUUUUGUAGAGAACAAGGAUAUAUACCAUGUCAAGGUAGUUCUCCUGCAGUCCUGCUAAAUACUUUAGUAGUCAUGACCAAGUUUCUUUUAUCUCUCAAUUAAUUAGCCAUUGAUUCCCCCCCCCCCUUUCUUUUUCUUGUGUAGUUGUCUGAUGGCACACGACAAAUUACGUGCAAAUGUACUGUUAAAGAAGAUCAAAAGCUUCAUCUCUAUAAGGCAAGUCUUUUGCUACUGGCUGAGUAUUAUUUAUGGACAACGGGUCCAAGUUUAUAAGUUGCCUCUUGUGUUAAGGAGACUUUUGCUAGUGGAAACAUUGAAACAAGACUUAUGAUGUUUUGAUUUGAAUGAUAUAAUCUUUUCACUGUGAAUUAUGAAGGAGAUGUCGAAUAUAAGCGAUAGAUAUCAAGAAAGAGACGAAACCUUUGUGUCUCAAAAGAACCUUUUAGAAGUCUCUCCAGGAAUAAUCUCAGUUAAGAGGAAAAGAAUUUAAAAUGAAAAGAAGGAAGAAAAUUCUCAAGAAGUAAGACUAAUUCUACAUCUAAUUGAGGAACAGGCUUGUUAAUUUAACAAGGAAAGCUCCAGUAGCUAUUUAUUAUAAACCAAUUAAAAAUUGAAUUAAAUUAAUAGUUAACUUGUAAUUGAAUGUCUAAUCCAACAAACUAUGCAUAAGAUUACAGACGUAACUAUGUAAUACAAAAAACCUCUGCUUAUUGUAGACCAAAGUGAAUAUGCCAAUAUUUAGGAAUUUCUUUCAGCAUCAUGGGAUUUAGAUCCCUAUAAUCUUUUUUUAUUUUAGUGUAGUGACGUCCGGAAGACCAGAAUUAUCACGUACCUCGUACUAGUCGUUUUAUUUAUUUUGUCUUUUAAAGCGCCACAUUAUUUCCCAUACAGUCAUAAUAUAUCUAUUUUUUGUUUAUUUAUCGUUGCCGUGUGUGGAGUCUCAUCUUGAAUAUGAACAUUUUUCCGGUAGGUCGAACUGAACUCUGUUCGUCACAUGGUAGCAGACAUGUUAUGCGUUCAUAAAAAUCUAGACCUGAGGUUGGCACUAUGUUCAAAGAGUACCUUAUCUGCUCUCUCGGUAAGUCAAUCUGCUCCUCCGUGCAUGUUUUAGCUGGACUUUUAAGUUACGCCUUCUUUUUUCCCCUUUUUAUUUUAUUUGGUCAUUUGCUUGUUGGAAUCAUCAUCAUUACAGAAUGAUGAAGAAAAAUUCAAGACCAGGGGAAAUAAGGAAAUAUUAAACUUAUAGCUUUUGUUUUAUCAUAGAAAGUUUACUUUCAAGGGGUUGAGAAAAAAUUUAUAUAUAUAUAUAUACACACACACAUACACACACACACACACACACACACGACAAGCUUAAAACGGUUAAACAUUAGCAUGCAUGAUCCUUUUCUUCAAAACUGAAACUUUACAAAUGUUAAAAAUAGAAUAACAAAUAAAUUAUUAGAUUUCCAAAAUCAGUUACCGUUAUGCAGGCUUAAAACAAAAGUUAAAUAUAAGCUCUUUUUUUUUUUUUUGGGGGGGGGGGGGGGGGGGGGGCGUGUGUGCCUAUGAGUAGUCCCAGCAAAUGAAUUCUAUGAUCAAACUGAAAUUUUUGAAUUUUCAGGAUGAUGAAAUGAACAGCAUUAGAAUUCUGAUUAAUUCAGCCAUUCCGGAUCCGGAAGUCAAGGGUGGGUUAAGAUGGCCCAUGGGGAAGUCAUAUUCAGGGGAUUACACAAUUGUUGGGGUUUGGCACAAUGAAUUUAAAUCAUAUAAAAGCCCAUCACUAAAGCUUAAGGUAAGAAAUGUUGAUCGAUUUAUUUUCAAGACUGGAACUGGGGAAGCUACGAUUGAGAUUAAUCUAAAGUUGAGAAGACUAGUUUCAGAGAUUCAGGUACUUGCUGCUUUUUGCUUUAACUUUUAUCACAAAACCUACUAUCUUUGUGCAUGAUUACAUGGAUCUUGAAAUUCUUGCUGUUAUGUCAUAAUGUUAAUGCAUAUUUUGUCUUCACGCAUUUCUUACUGAACUUGUGUCUUGAGCUGUAAUUGUAAUUUCCAAUUUUUACUAUUAGAUGGGUAUUUUAUUGGGGAUUUCUUUACUUAAAAAAAAAAUAUGUUUGACAGAGAAUAUUUUAACGAUGAGAUUGCAAUAUUGUAAUAGAUAAUCUUCAGGAACUCUUUUUACCUUUUAGUAGUUAUGCAGUUGCUCCUCUGUGUUAGCUUAUUUAUUCUAUCAUAUGUAACGAAUGACUUUUUACCAAAUUUGAUUUCAAAGCUGAGCUUCCAGCUUAUGACUAAUAUUUGUGUCUUGCACUUUUGUUUUACAAUCACCAUUAGAUGGAAGAGUGCUUAGAGUUAGUUAAUUGAUUCAAUCCCAGGAUUAGUCUUUUGAAACAUAAAAUUUAUCGGCUAAGCUAUAUAAAUCUGUUUCAUGUUUCUUAUCGCACACUAUUUCGUAUGGCUUUGUCUCCAUGCUCAUACAAAAUUAGUGUUGUAUUAGAUGUCUUCUGUCUUUCAUUCACAUGUACUUAUUACUUUUUCUUUCAAUCGUCAGGAUGGGGAGAUUGAUACUGAUUCCAUCUACAAUGGGUUUAACGACAACUUGAGGUUAAUAUGGGACCAUUUCUUGUCAUGGGAGUCAUAACUUUUGACAAAAACAACAGAUUGCAUGCUCUCCCCGCUCGGUUCAUAUUUGCGUUUGUGUGCAUCCUGCAGUUGAAGAUGUAGAAUGAUGUAAAUGCAAGAAUAAGAGCAUGUUCGUAUCCAAUGGUAAAAUGUUUUUGCUAAAAUGUAUGGACUUGUAACAGCUUGUUGCGUGAGUUUCUCAAUCUCCUGAACCUCAAAUUUUGUCCUAUUUUCACCCCGGCUUUUUCCCCCCGUCCUCUGUAAUAGUUAUAUUUGGUAUAAGUUUGGCAGUUCCUGUGUAAAGUGUUUCAUAUUCAUGUGUGGAAUAAAUAUCAACAUCCAGAUACAAGAAAGUUUGAUUUUAUUUGUAAGACCUGUCUCUCAAAGUUAAUCUAGUGACAUGCUUGAAGCACUUGGGAUCCACUAGUUGGAUGUAUUUUUGUUAAGAUUUAUUUAGCAUUUUGUAUGUGUAUCAGUGCCUUUUUUUUUUGUUGUUAAACCGUUGGUUAGAGGGCAAAUAUUUCACAUUAAAGUGGGGUCUGCUUGCCACCAAGGGAGAUGCCUUUCCCAAAGCAAGAAACGAAAACUCAAAAGCCCACUUCAUAACUUGUGUAAGAAGGAGAUGUAAUUGACAUAUGCUGUCCUUUUUCUUGGUGCGUGUAUGUGUGUGUAUACACACUUAAUUCCGAAGAUCAACUGAGCCAACAGCCAAAACUUGAAAGCAAUUUUAAAAUUUUCGGUUAGUAUUGUACUUUAUAUCUUUUGAAUUUCUCUUUAAUUUAUUAUAUUUUCACUUUAGUUUUGUUUCUGGGUACUCUUUAUGGGCCACAAUUAUGGUACCACUGUGGUACCAUACCACAGCUGGAUCCAGCCAUUGGAUCCGGCCUACAGUGGUCCCCAUAGCUGGAUCCAAUGGCUGGAUCCAGCUGUGGUAUGGUACCACAGUGGUACCAUAGCCGGACCCCUCUUUAUGUGCUUUUCUUCGAUGAUUUUGGUGAGCUCAUAUUUUACUGUUUCCACUGGUUAGUUUAGUUAUUGUCUACUAAGAUAAAAUUAUUUGCUUCAAUAACAUAGAGUAUUGAGGUGUUGUAAUUUAAAAUUUUAGAAAAAAAUAUAUUUAUAAAAUAAAAGUUAAUAGUAUGUGGUAAAUAUAAUUUUAAAAUAAUAAUUUUAAUAAAAUUAGUAAAGAUAUAAUAGAUUUUCAUCAUAUAAAAGUAAAAUCAAAUCAACUUAAUUUCUAAACUACAUAAAUUAAUUUUUAUAAAACACUUUAGUGCUGUAACUACCCAACCUCAAUCUAAAGUAUAGCCUUAAUUGUUUGCUAUUUUAUUAUGUGAUUGUAUAUAGAGUUAAUUAAUUGUAUCAAAUGUCAUUAUAAAUGAUGCAUGAGCAAUUUCAUAUUGUUUUUCUUUCCUUCAUUGAUAAUUGGCUUGUCGGAUAUCUUUGAACUUUUUUUUUUCGCCUCAAAGUUCUUUUAGUCUGCAGAAUGUUGGUUUUAGUUUCGAUCUUGGUUACUGCAAUAUUUCAUUCAUUCUUUCUAAGCAUAGUGGGUUCAUUUCACAAAAUUCUGUAAUAAGUACUUAUUGUAGUUUAAGGUAGCGCGAAGUAAUAUUAUCGUAAUGUCUUACAUUCCACCACAUAAGCAGCAGUUUGUAAUCAAGACUGCAGAGAAUCUUGCAGAUAUAUUGACUAAGGUGGUGACGACAAUUAAGUUUGAGCAUUAUCUAAACUUGAUCAAUAUCUUACAAGUUUGAAAAUAGUCAGAGAAGACAGAGACUGGAGGAUGGUUUGUUGAUAGUCGGCUCAGAUUUACUAAAUUUUCGUUAAGGUAGAGAAUUGUUGAAAAAUCAAGCAUGCUUGCAUGAGCUAGCUAGCAUGCAAAUUUCAAGCCCACCAAUGUUCAGCUAGCGUGAUCCAAUUGCAUGUGCUAGCAUGAUCUCUUCGUCAAAAGUCACACCAAAGCCAUUAAAAUUGAAAAUGGCCAAAGUUUUUUUUUCAUGCAUUUAUAUUGUAAGAUUUGCCUAUAAAUAGAGGAGUAGAAUGCAUUUGUAAAGCAUCCCAAUUUGUGAGAAGUAGAGAGCAAUUGCAAGUGAGCUCUUUGAGAGAAUUUGAGAGAGCUUCCACUUGAGUGUUCUAGUUGUUGUGCAAAUUUUAAUGUACUCGCAAGCGCACGAAUCUAUUGUAGUAUAGAUCAAUGGUGACGAGUGUCGAUCCCACGAGGAGGUGGAUUUUAAUUGUGUAUAGAAUUAAUUUUGUAAAUGGGUGGUUGGAUCUGUGGUGGAAAUGAAUUGGAAUAUGCUAAAACUUAAAUUAAAAUGGCGAGAAUAAAUUCUAAAAUUGGAAUUGCAAUGGCGAGAAUAAAUUGAAGAGAAAUGUAUUGAAAUGACGUACUUGGGUAUCUGGAUCCGUAUCAACAUGCAUCAUGGGCUAAAUAAUCCGUAUUAAUGCCAAUUAAAUCAUGAGGGGGGAAUCCACACCUCAUGAACCACGCUCUAAUCAAUAUGGUGCUAAGGGCUUAUCGUGCCAAAUAAUAAUAACCUUAUACUAGAGAGCCGGUGUAACCAAGGCGGUAUCUAGACAAGAUCAGUAUUAUUUGUCGACGAUAAGUCAAAUCAUCCACAAAAACUAGAGGGGAAAAGAAAAUAAAUUUACCAAAUAAAGCCCAUGACACAUGUUGAGACUUCACCUUCAACCCAAGCUUGAAAGGAAAUUAGCUACUCAUAAUUGAACUAGGGGCAAAAUGAAAAUUUAUUAAAAUACGAAGAAAAUACAAGAUGGAGAAGGAAUUACAGAAAAUGGAUCCCAAAAAUGGAUUCAGAGAUAUCAAAUUAGGGGGGGGAGGCCCCUUUUUUAUAGAUACAUGGAGUAAAUCAUGGCCAUCGGAUUAAAAACAGUUUGGACGCUCAGGAUUGCGCCACGUCAUCAGUCAACAGUCCACGGUUUGACCACGCGGAUGAACAGUAACACGGUUUGACCACGCGGAUGAACAGUAACGCGGUUUGGUUGAAAAUAAUCCUGUGUGAUGCAUGCACCGUACGCGAGAUUUUUCGUCCACUGAUAUGCUGCCACGUCACCAUCAACAGUACAUAAGAAUUUUAGUCCAACAGGAUCGUGACACCUCAUCAGUCAAUGCCACAUCAUCGGUCAAUGCCACGUCAUCGAUCCGUCUAUGUGAACAGUGUCGUGAACAGUAACGUAGACAGUACCGUAUACGUGAAUAGUACCGUACAUGUGAAUAGUGCCAUUUUUCUUUUUAUGCCCCUCCUAAGGUUUUCGACCGUCCUGAGUUCAAAAGUGAUGUCCGUUUUGCCAUCUGAUCUCUCCUUUAUUGUGAAAUAACUAUAAUGCCCCUAAAAUACAUAAAAUACUUAAUUAAAAUAAAACACAUGUAAUUAAAUCACAAGAAGGUUAAAUACAUAAAAGUAAGGGUUUUUAAUAAGACUUGAAAUGUAAAAUGACGGUUUUCUCCUUUAUAAAUAUGCAUUUUCUAACACUCAACACACCCCCCAACCAGCUUAUUGCUAGUCCCUAGCAAAUAAAGCGAAAACAAAAUUCAAAUUCAAAAUGAUUUUUUUUUUUUUUUUGAACUACUCGUGUUUAUUCAAUCAGAUUAAUGAUAGCAAUCAAAUAAAAGUAUAAGCAUUAUCUCCAGUCUAAAGCAACAUCACACCCACAUCAACCAUCCACAUGAAUUAGCCCAGUAGACUUUGUUAUAGCUACUUUCAAGAAUGACAUGUCAAACCCCAAAAUCUCACUUGAAGUAGUGACACUCUCACAAAGAAAUUAAAACCCAAUAAACAUAGUCACUCCAAUGAAUGGUAAUUGAGAGAGAAAAUAAUAAAGAAAUGAUAUCACAUGCUCUCACCAAGAUGAAAUAAAUAUGCCCUCAGCUUAGAAAUAAUGCGAUCUCAAGUCAAAUAAAAUGUUAGUCAACCCACUUUAUUUAUCUUUUUUUUUUAUUAUUAUUAUGCAUCACUACAUCUUUUUAGCCCAUAUAACUAGCUUCUACUUCAAACUAUAGUUCCCUAAAAUCAAGAAGGACUUUUAUUAGGACGUAACGUAGGCUAGGGAUAUGGCUAACAAAGAAAGGAAAUAAGGAAAACAAAGUGUAUGUUUGAAAAAAAUGCAGAAUUUUUUUUUUUUUUUUUUUUUUGGAACUUGCAAGGUGGAUUUCACCUAUUAUUGUUAUUUUUAUUCUUUUGAAACAACAACUUUUGUUUUUGUUUUUGUUUUUUUUGUUUUUUUUUUUUGCUUUUAUUUGGCAUAACUUCACUGAACAACAUAAUUAUUUACAUUUUCUCAAACAUAAAUAGGUGAUGGAACUUAAAAGACAUUGGGUAAUACUCCAAAUCGGAGUGGGUCAAGAUGAUAAGUUGACAAAGAAAAGGUUUUUGUUCUUUUUUUUUUUUUUUUUUUUUUUUUUUUUUUUAAGGCUCAAAAGGGGUAACUAUGGAUAUUUAAUAAAAGGGAUGGCUAGAAAGGCUCAAACGGAUCAAAGAUGGCCUUUCUAUCGUCUUUUAGGGCUCUAAAUAAUUAUCCAUAUCUACUAGUUAGAUGGGCCUCCCAAUGUAGCAACACACAUUUUUUUCUUUUUUCUUUUUUUUUUUAAUUUUACCAUAUUUUUUUUUUUUUAAAAGGGUUAACUUAAAAGAAAUCUAGAGAUCGUGUAUAAAAUAAUAAACUGCUAAGCUGUAUAGAGAAUGGGUAAAAGGGUUACUCUCCAAGAAAAUGAUAGGCUCAACUACUCACUUGGCACUUAUUUAUGACAUGUUCAUUCCUUCAAGCAACUCAUAUUUGUCUCCGACAUCAACAUGUAAAGUAGCAAACAUAGCGUAACAUCACUUAAGACCAAAGAUAAUACAAAUACUAAAAUUUGAAAUUAGUCAUGUCAUCCAAUGUUAAAACAAAUAACACAAUUUUUUUUAAACAACAUUCUACCCCCCAACCUAUUCUAAACAUGAAAGGAAAAUAUGCAUGCAGAAAUGUGAAAAUGAUGUAGAAAAAUUAAUUAGAAAAAGAAUUUUUUUUUUUUUUUUUAAACUAAGAAGAUGCGUUUCUAGAGGCACUACACUCCAUAUUCAGCCAUCUUCGACUCAAAAAUUUGAAACUACAUAUUUAUAAAGGAGAAAGAGGAAGAAAACAGGUUUUUUUUUUUUUUUUUUUUAAAACGAUGAAGAUGCGUUUCUAGAGUAACUACACUCCAUAUUCAGCCAUCUUCAACAUAAAAUGUUAGCAACAGUUAGUUUCUACAACAAAAAAUCAGUAAAAACUUAACCAAGAUUCCACAAUUGUCGACUAUUCCCUUCCCCCAACUAGAACGAAACAUUGUCCUCAAUGUUUUAAAGGAAAGAAGUAGAGUUUAGAAGACAUCACCUGGGUGGUGCAACACAGAAGAAAAUAUUUACAAGCGGAGAGUUAAAUCUAAUUUGUACUUCUUACUGCGGCUACUGUUACCAUCAUUAUUUGGUCGCUCCAACACAAAGGUCCAGGGGUCUGGCUCCGGUUUAUAAGCUUGUAACAUAUCAAGUAGCUCAUUAGCAGUGUGAGCACAAAUAAAGAGUUUUUUCACAUUAGAAGGAAUGAAAUAGUUUUUUAUUGCAUGGUUAAGAAAUGCGAUAAAGUCAUCAUAAAAGUUAUUGACAUUUAACAAACCGAUAGGUUUCUGGUGGAUGUGCAGAUGGGCCCAAGAUGCUAGUGUCAUAAGUGCCUCUAGUGUUGCAAGAUCUCCUGGAAGGAAAAUAAAAGCAUCAGCAUGAUUAAGCAUUUCAGUUAUUCUUUCUUGCAUACCUGAGACGACUAACUCUUCUCCAGUUGAUGAGUCAGACGAACUGCCCAAUGGUUUUAGGACUCUUGGGAUGAUGCCUAACACUUGACUUCCUCUGAUAAAAGCUGCUUCUGAGACCAUUUUUGAUAACCCUCGGUUACCUCCUCCAUACACCAAAUGUAAUUUUCUCGCUGCUAUGCUUCGACCAAGAUCUAUGGCUGCCUCAACGAACUCUUUAUGUUUGCCAUAGGUAAAUCCAGAAAGCACACAAAUGUUCUUGAAUUGUCUAUUGGGAGUAGCGGCCAUUGUGAUACUUCUCAAAAAUAAUUUGUGAGUGCUUGACAAAAAAUAGAUCACAUUUAAGAAUCUUGGUGACAGUGGAUCACAGCUGUGAAUGAGGUAACAUGUCAGUGUGAAAUAACGCGUGAAGCACAUGGCUUGCGAGUCAAAAAGGAAACAGUAAAAAGGAAAAAGCAAACAGUAAUAAAAUUAUUAAAGACAAUAAUGCAAACAAUAAAACAACAGUGAAAUGAAAUAAAAUAACAGUAAAGUAAAAUGAUAUUUACACGUAGUUGCGACUGUGGCUCACAUCUUCCUCUGGUUUUACGUCCAGAAACGGCUUGAACGCCCUCUAUGGGUCGAGGAUGGGCUUCCCAUCCAGUUUUCUUAUAAACUGGCAAACAGGGUCGUUUAUAGUCAGAUUCCCGAGACUAUAUCGUGCAUGCUCUUUCUGGAAUAAUGGCCAUAACCGGAGAAUCGCUCCUUGCACAUAUCCACUGGGAUGCGUUUCAAGAGACAAAAGGAUAUCAUCCAAUGACUCCUUAUUCAAGCCAUCCCUAAUGAAUUGAAUCUUAUCUUCCCUGUUAUCAGACACCAUUCCUAAAGAACAUGGGUUUCUAUCGCAACUCAUUCUGGCACACUUAUGACAAGCAACAGAAAUUCUUCGAGCUCGUCGUUUUCUUGCAUAAUUGCCUUUACCACAACCAGGCAUGUAUGCAAUAAAUUUAUGAGGUAACUCACCUGCCAAUCGUACUUUAGCCUCGAUUAACCAACGGAUGUCUGCAGGUAUGUUAUUCCUCAUGAGCAAUCGCAUGCGUUCAGACCGGGCUUUAUAGAUUGUAAGGAGGGCAUUCUGAGGAAGUGAAGGGAAUCGCUUGUGAAGCUUUGCUAAAAUCUCGUUUCUAUCCAUACCUUCGCCUCAGAAUAUCAGUUAUUAUGGGAAACUGAAGUUAACCGACUUGAUUGUCACGGAGUACCGUUAUCCGCCACUUCACCGGGGUAACAAACUAAAGCACACAAACAGAAAAACAAAUUAAAACACACAAAGAAAAUUAAAAUCGUCCUCUUAUUGAAUUUACCUCAAGCUCCAACUGGAUGUCGUAAACACUUCUCUCAAUGUCUCUGAGUUGGCGUUCUAAACCCUCAACAUAGGCUACUAACUCUGGUGGUUGUAGAGCCCAAAUGCGUUGUGUUUUACAAAAUAGAAUCUGCCUUUUGAGAUGAGUUUUGACACGUUGAAGUGGUUUAAGAAUGUUCAGGAGGAACGGUCUAAGUAUGAGACUCAUGAUUAAAAAUGAUAAGAGAAAACUUAAUUGUUAAACAAACACACUUAUGCAAAAAUAAUUUCAAUUAGCAAAAGAAUAAUAAAAAGAAAGAAAGAAAAAUCAAAUCAAUAAAAAGAGAAAAAAAAAAUUAAUUCAAAUCUGGUGGGUCACUCAAAUUUAUUUCGGUGUCUUCUUCAUGUGGUUGGUACUCUAGAUAUGGCUUUAAUCUUUGACCAUUAACUUUAAACGUGACACCGUUCUUUGGGUCUUUAAUUUCAAUUGCCCCAUGUGGAAAAACAGUAUGAACAAUAAAGGGACCAGACCAUCGAGAGCGUAACUUACCUGGGAAUAGGUGCAAGCGAGAAUUGAAUAAAAGCACUUUCUGACCUGGAGUGAACGAUUUUCUCAUAAUUUGCUUAUCAUGGAAGACUUUCAUUCGUUGCUUGUAAAUCUUGGCAUUUUCGUAUGCAUCAUUGCGAAUUUCUUCAAGUUCUGCCAGCUGUAAUCUUCUUUCUGAGCUGGCUUGCUGCAUGUCAAAGUUGAAUUUCUUGAUGGCCCAAUAUGCACGAUGCUCGAGUUCCACAGGUAGGUGGCAAGCUUUUCCAUACACUAGCCUGUAGGGUGACAUCCCAAUCGGGGUCUUGAAAGCCGUUCUAUAUGCCCAUAAUGCAUCAUCAAGUCGUAAUGACCAAUCUUUUCUGUCUGGCCUCACCGUUUUUUCUAAUAUGUGCUUGAUUUCUCGAUUGGAGAUCUCAACUUGGCCACUGGUUUGCGGAUGAUACGGGGUCGCCACUUUGUGUGUGAUUGAAUACUUUGUCAAAAGAGCUUUGAAUGUUUUGUUACAAAAGUGGGCACCACCAUCACUGAUUAUCGCUCGAGGGAAUCCAAAGCGUGAAACAAUGUUGCUUUUCAAAAAUCCUAUCACCACUUUGUGAUCAUUGGUUCUGCAUGGAAUUGCUUCCACCCAUUUCGAUACGUAGUCAACACCAACCAAUAUGUAUUGAUGGCCAAAAGAAGGGGGAAAGGGUCCCAUGAAGUCGAUACCCCAUACGUCAAAAAUCUCAACCACUAAAAUUGGAUUUAGUGGCAUCAUGUUCCUUCGUGUAAUGCUCCCCAUUCGUUGACACCUAUCACAUGAAGAACAGAAAGUGUAAGCGUCUCGAAAUAUAGUUGGCCAAUAGAAACCACAUUGUAAAACUUUUGUAGCUGUUUUCUUAGCACUAAAAUGGCCUCCACACGCUUGUUCAUGGCAGAAUGAAAGGAUAUUUUGAAUUUCACUUUCUGGGACACAUCGCCUAACAAUUUGAUCUGCACAAUACUUGAACAAAUACGGGUCAUCCCAAAAGAAAUUCUUUAUUUCCGCAAAGAAUUUAGCCUUGUCUUGCUUGGUCCAAUGCUCUGGAAGUUUACCUGUAACAAGAUAAUUAACUAUAUCAGCAUACCAAGGUAAUACUUCCACAUUCAUUAAUUGUUCAUCUGGAAAUGACUCAUUCAAUAUUAAUGGAUCUGUAAUUGUGUCAAAAUGGAGACGAGAGAGGUGGUCCGCCACAACAUUUUCUGUGCCUUUCUUAUCCUUGAAUUCCAAGUCGAAUUCCUGCAAAAGUAACACCCAACGAAUUAGUCUAGCUUUUGCAUCUUUCUUUGUGAGAAGAUAUUUAAGAGCAGCAUGAUCUGUGAAUAUAAUUAUUUUACAACCAAUGAGAUAAGAUCGAAAUUUCUCUAAUGCAAACACUACUGCUAGCAUUUCUUUUUCAGUAGUUGAAUAAUUCAACUGUGCAUCAUUCAAUGUCAUACUAGCAUAGUAAAUAACGUGGGGAAUUCGAUCAACUCUUUGUCCUAAUACUGCUCCUACUGUAUAAUCAGAUGCAUCACACAUGAGCUCAAAUGGUAAGUUCCAGUUUGGGGCCUGAAUGAUGGGUGAUGAUGUCAACAACUGCUUUAAUUUUUCAAACGCCAUGAGACAUGAAUCAUUAAAGAUAAAAGGUACAUCCUUAGCAAGUAAAUUGCAUAAGGGUCUAGAAACUUUGCUAAAAUCUUUAAUGAAACGUCUAUAAAAACCAGCAUGUCCAAGGAAAGAUCUUACUUCUCUGACUGUUUUAGGUGGAGGAAGAUUAGAAAUGAGAUCCACCUUGGCUUUGUCAACCUCAAUACCUUUGCUCGAAAUGAUGUGACCGAGAACAAUACCUUGUUUUACCAUAAAAUGGCACUUCUCCCAAUUCAAGACUAAGUUCUUCUCGGUACAUCUCUGCAGAACUAGCGUUAGAUGAUGUAAACAUUGAUCAAACGAGUCACCAAAGAUAGAAAAAUCAUCCAUAAAGACUUCAAGGAAUCGUUCAACCAUAUCAGAAAAAAUGCUCAACAUGCAUCGUUGGAAUGUAGCAGGUGCAUUACAUAAUCCAAAUGGCAUUCUCCUAUAUGCAAAAGUGCCAAAAGGGCAAGUGAAAGUAGUUUUCUCCUGAUCUUUUGGUGCUAUGGGAAUCUGAUUAUAUCCUGAGUAGCCAUCUAGAAAGCAAUAAAAUUCAUGGCCUGCUAAUCUAUCAAGCAUUUGAUCAAUAAAUGGUAAAGGAAAAUGGUCUUUACGUGUGACAGAAUUCAACUUUCUAUAAUCAAUGCAUACACGCCAUCCUGUAGUUACUCUAGUUGGUAUCAAUUCAUUAUCAGCAUUGGUAACUACUGUGACUCCUGACUUUUUGGGGACGACUUGUACAGGACUGACCCAUGAACUAUCAGAAAUUGGGUAAAUGAUACCUGCAUCUAAUAGCUUAAGGACUUCAGUUCUAACAACUUCUUUCAUGUUAGGAUUUAACCGACGUUGCAUCUCCCUAGUAGUUUUAGCAUUUUCAUCAAGGUGAAUGUAAUGCAUGCAGUCUACUGGAUUUAUACCUUUUAUGUCUGCUAUGGUCCAUCCUAAUGCCCCUUUGUGCUCUUUUAACACAUCCAACAACUUACCUUUUUGUUCGUCAUUUAGGGAUGAUGAGAUGAUUACCGGUAGAGUGCUUUCUUCUCCCAAAAACGCAUAUUCCAAUGUGUUGGGCAAUUGUUUGAGCUCGAGUUUUGGUGGUGAUUCUGAUGAUGGGAUGAGUUUCUUUUCUGACGGUGCUAGUUGUUCUACUCUUGACUUCCAUUUAUUAGUGUCCAUGGAUGGUGCUGAGUCAAGUAGGGCGUUGACCUCUUCGACCGAUCUAUCAAUAUCAAAAUCCAAACCAAAGUGAGUUAAGCAUGUUUGUAAAGGAUCAUCACUAAGGUUUGAAAGAAAAGUAUUAUCAACUAUUGUUUCUAUUAAAUCCACAUCAACAAUUCCAUCAUCUGCACUGUGAGGUUGUUUGGCAAUGUUAAAGAUGUUUAGCUCCAUAGUCAUGUUGCCGAAGGACAAUUGCAUAUUUCCGGUCCUACAUUGAAUAUGAGCAUCUGCAGUUGCCAAGAAAGGUCGGCCUAGAAUAAUGGGGAUGUGCUUCCUUGAGUCCUGUAUUGGUUGAGUGUCAAUUACAAUGAAAUCAACAGGAAAAUAAAACUUGUCUACCUGGAUAAGCACGUCCUCCACAAUACCACGAGGUAUUUUUGUGGACCGAUCUGCAAGUUGUAACACCACUGGAGUUGGGUGUAAUUCUCCCAGUCCAAGUUUCACGAAUACAGAGUAAGGUAACAAAUUUACACUAGCUCCUAAAUCCAACAAAGCAUUCUCAAUUGUGUGGUUCCCUAUACUACAUGAGAUAGUGGGGGAGCCUGGGUCUUUGCAUUUUAAAGGAAUUUUAUGUUGGAGUAUAGAACUAACGUUUUCUGUUAAAAAUGCCUUCUUUUGAACAUGCAUAUUUCUCUUUUUAGUACAAAGGUCUUUAAGAAACUUGGCAUAAGAUGGAAUUUGUUUUAUAGCAUCAAGCAAAGGGAUAUUGACACUUACCUGUUUGAAGAUUUCGAGAAUCUCACCUGUGGAUUUUCCCUUCUUGCCUUUAGCUAACCUCUGAGGAAAUGGAGCUUUCGGAAUAUAUUCUCGUGGGUUGGUUUCUUCUCUCUCCUCCGGUGGUGAGUCCUCAGCAUUUACAGGUACAAUUUGAUUUUCUUUUGUCACCUGCAUCUCCACUUUAUUGUCGACUUCUUUUCUUUUUCUCAAGGUCAUUACUGCUUUGACCUCUCCAUGCUGCUGUGGUGAACUGGUACUUGCUUCAUGCACUCCUUUAGGAUUAGGCACUGGUUGACUCGGAAACUUGCCUUUCUCAACAGUCAUUGCCAAGGUCUGAACUGAAGAAGCAAGCUGUCCCACCAUCUUCUCGAGGCUUGAAACUGAUUGGGCUUGUGAAUUGAAGCCCGCUCUCAACUCAUUUCGUAGUCCAUCAAUGGUGCGAUUCUGUUGCUCAAUCGUGGAGUGAGUAACAUUCUUGAAAUUCUGGAAUGCAUCCUCCCAUGGUCUGGGUUGAGAGUAGUUCUGGUUUUGAUUGUAUGGUCUAAAUGGUGGCUGAGAGGCUUGAGGAUUUUGAGGAAUUGGUUGCAUUGGUGGAGCUGGAGCUGCUGGUCCAUUCUGUUGAAAUCCUUGAGACCAUGAAAAAUUGGGGUGGUCUCUCCAUCCAGGAUUAUAUGUGUUGGAGUAUGGGUUGUAAUUAGAUGGCUUUCUCAUUACACCUAUGGCAUUGGCUUGAUCGGAGUAUGAGUCAUGGUCAUGUGGUUCUGUUGAUUUAGCAGUCGAUAACGAUGCUAUUUGUCGAGCAAGACCUUCAACCAUCUCCUUGACUUCUUUGAUUCCCGAAGUUGACUCGCCAAUGUGAACCUCAUUCACUCCUUUAAUCCUUCUAGUAUUCCUGAGUGAUCGACUCCGUUGUUGGGAAUUAUCCGCUUGUCGCUGGAAGAAUUCCCAAAUCUCUGUUGCGCUUUUUGACAUUAGCUCUCCUCCACUUGUUGCCAUUAGCCAUUCUUGCACAUUCGGCAAUAAUCCCUCCAAAAAGUAUUGGCAUUGGUGCCAUUUUUCGUACCCAUGAUGUGGACACUUCAAGAGUAGUCCAUUGAAUCGCUCCCAAGUUUCGAAAAACUGCUCGUCCUCUCUUUGUGUAAACUCUGAAAUUUCCCUGCGAAUAGAAUUGGUUUUAUGCACUGGGAAAUAUUUAUUUAGAAAUUUUGUUACCAUUUGUUCCCAUGAUGAAAUGCUAUUGGCAGGCAAUGUAUUAAGCCAUGAACGAGCUCUAUCCUUUAAAGAAAAUGGGAAUAGUCUAAGUUUUACAUCAUCAUCUGAAAAAUUUUCAUAUUUAAAAGUUUGACAAAUAGCAUGAAAAUCAUUCAAAUGAUUAUAUGGGUCCUCAUUUUCUAGGCCAUAAAAUGUGGGGAGACAAUUUAGCACACUAGGUUUUAAUUCAAAACUCCUAGCAGCUACAUUUGGGUAUCUUAUGCAUGAUGUGCUCAAAUUAGCUAAGGGACUAAAAUAGUCCUUAAAUGGCCUCUCCUGUGGUGCUUGUAAAUCCAUUUUAUUUUUAACGUGUUUGUGUGUGCGAAGUGUUUUUUCUAAUUCAAGGUCUAUAGGUUCAAUAUUAGGUAAUAAUGACCUACGACCAUGCAUGCAAAAUAAAUAAAAUAAAAAUAAAGAUGCAAACAAAACAAAAAAUAAAGAUGGGAACAAAACAAAUAAAAAAUAAAGAUGAGAACAAAACAAAUAAAAAUAAAGAAGAGGGAGAAAUUACGAUACUAACCUCAUUGCGCUAUUACAACCUUACUAUAAAAAUACACAAAAAUAAAUACGUGAAAUAAAUUAACUAAAAAUUAAAUUAAUAAGAUAAACAAAAAUUACAAAGAAAAAAUAAAUUGAAAAUUAAAUUACAGAAUUUUAAAGAAGAGAAAAAGAAAAGAAAUACUAACCUUUAAAUGUAGAUUUACUCUUUUUUUUUAAAGAACAAAAAAAAAAAAAAAAUACAAGAAAACAAUUUAAAAUAAAUUAUUCACAAAAAUUAAUUCUAUGAAUUAAAACUACUUACCUCCCCGGCAACGGCGCCAAAAACUUGUUGUGCAAAUUUUAAUGUACUCGCAAGCGCACGAAUCUAUUGUAGUAUAGAUCAAUGGUGACGAGUGUCGAUCCCACGAGGAGGUGGAUUUUAAUUGUGUAUAGAAUUAAUUUUGUAAAUGGGUGGUUGGAUCUGUGGUGGAAAUGAAUUGGAAUAUGCUAAAACUUAAAUUAAAAUGGCGAGAAUAAAUUCUAAAAUUGGAAUUGCAAUGGCGAGAAUAAAUUGAAGAGAAAUGUAUUGAAAUGACGUACUUGGGUAUCUGGAUCCGUAUCAACAUGCAUCAUGGGCUAAAUAAUCCGUAUUAAUGCCAAUUAAAUCAUGAGGGGGGAAUCCACACCUCAUGAACCACGCUCUAAUCAAUAUGGUGCUAAGGGCUUAUCGUGCCAAAUAAUAAUAACCUUAUACUAGAGAGCCGGUGUAACCAAGGCGGUAUCUAGACAAGAUCAGUAUUAUUUGUCGACGAUAAGUCAAAUCAUCCACAAAAACUAGAGGGGAAAAGAAAAUAAAUUUACCAAAUAAAGCCCAUGACACAUGUUGAGACUUCACCUUCAACCCAAGCUUGAAAGGAAAUUAGCUACUCAUAAUUGAACUAGGGGCAAAAUGAAAAUUUAUUAAAAUACGAAGAAAAUACAAGAUGGAGAAGGAAUUACAGAAAAUGGAUCCCAAAAAUGGAUUCAGAGAUAUCAAAUUAGGGGGGGGAGGCCCCUUUUUUAUAGAUACAUGGAGUAAAUCAUGGCCAUCGGAUUAAAAACAGUUUGGACGCUCAGGAUUGCGCCACGUCAUCAGUCAACAGUCCACGGUUUGACCACGCGGAUGAACAGUAACACGGUUUGACCACGCGGAUGAACAGUAACGCGGUUUGGUUGAAAAUAAUCCUGUGUGAUGCAUGCACCGUACGCGAGAUUUUUCGUCCACUGAUAUGCUGCCACGUCACCAUCAACAGUACAUAAGAAUUUUAGUCCAACAGGAUCGUGACACCUCAUCAGUCAAUGCCACAUCAUCGGUCAAUGCCACGUCAUCGAUCCGUCUAUGUGAACAGUGUCGUGAACAGUAACGUAGACAGUACCGUAUACGUGAAUAGUACCGUACAUGUGAAUAGUGCCAUUUUUCUUUUUAUGCCCCUCCUAAGGUUUUCGACCGUCCUGAGUUCAAAAGUGAUGUCCGUUUUGCCAUCUGAUCUCUCCUUUAUUGUGAAAUAACUAUAAUGCCCCUAAAAUACAUAAAAUACUUAAUUAAAAUAAAACACAUGUAAUUAAAUCACAAGAAGGUUAAAUACAUAAAAGUAAGGGUUGUUAAUAAGACUUGAAAUGUAAAAUGACGGUUUUCUCCUUUAUAAAUAUGCAUUUUCUAACACUCAACACUAGUGAGGUUCCAUUUAGGUGUAUUGGGGUUGUGGGUUUUGUGAGUUUUUUCCACUUUUGUAAAUUCUCAUUAUUAGUAAAAUUAUCUUCCAAUCUUUGCCCGUGGACGUAGGCAUUAUGCCGAACCACGUAAAUUAUUGUGUUUAUAUUUUCUUUGUAUUUGUUUGGCACAUUUAUAUUUCUCCAAAAGUUACAUUCAUCGUAAUAUUGGUAAUUGCUCAACCUCGCACUUCCGCAACAAUUGGUAUCAGAGCAGAAGGUUCGUGCUUGGGGCAUACAACAUUGUUCACGUAUACGGAACUGUUCACAAAUACGGUAUUGUUCACGUAUACGGUAUUGUUCAUUGAUAUGGUGGAGAUGGUCAUUUAUACUUGGGAGACAGUCUAUUGAAAGUAGUGUGUAUUUUUUCAUGUCUAGGAAAGUCCUGUCAACAAGGCGAUAAAAGCUUAAGGAGUCUGGUUUUAAGUGGGACCGUUGUGACCCCUCCAUUCUCCUAGGAACUUUCCUGGUGCAUUUAUUCAUGCGAAAUAAAUAUCAUAGAGGCUAUUUUUCAAGUGUAAAUAGUUGUUGAAGAAACUGAUCAUUUGAGAUAAAAAUGAUGGCAGAGGCAUCGUCGUCGUCGUCGUCUUCAUCAGCAAGGACUACUGUGACUAAUGCAAAGUUUGAAGUGGAGAAAUUCAAUGAUACCAAUAAUUUUGGUAUGUGGCAAUGUGAGGUGUUGGAUGUCUUAUGUCAGUAAGAGUUGGACGUUACUCUUAAAGAAAAGCCUGACAUAAUGGAUGACAAGGAGUGGAUAAAGAUCAAUAAACAGGUAUGUGGUACUAUUCGCCUAUGUUUGGCUAAAGAUCAUAAAUACUUUGUUAUAAAGGAGACAUCGGCAAAGAAAUUGUAGGAGACAUUGGAAGAAAAAUAUAUGAAGAAAAGUAUAUAAAGAAAAGCCUUAAAAAUAAGCUUUAUAUGAAGAAGAAACUUUAUCUAUUCACAUAUACACCUGGCAUGUCGAUGAAUGACCAUGUAAAUUCAUUCAACAAAAUAUUGGCAGAUUCACUAAAUUUGGAUGAGAAAUUUGAAGAUGAAGAUAAGACACUGUUGUUUUUUAAUUCCCUUCCUGAUGAAUAUGAUCAUCUCACUACCAAUUUGCUUCAUGGGAAGGGCAGUGUCACAUUCGAUGUUGUAUGCAGUGCAUUGUAUAACUCUAAGAUCAGAAAGAAAGAUAGAAAAGAUCACAGAGAUACAGUUGUAGAAGCAUUAACAACUAAAAGUCGUUCACAAGGCUGUAAACUUGGAAAAAGAAGCAAGUCUAAAGGGAGACCUGCCAAAGAUGAGUGUGUUUUUUGUCGCGAGAAAGGACAUUGGAAAAAGAAUUAUCCUAAGUUACAAAAGGAUAAGGCUUCUUCUUAUGCAUGUGUAGCAGAGUAUGAUGAGGAGUCAGACUUUAGUCUGGUUGGCAUGACGUUGACAUGUUACUUAGAUGAGUGGUUUUUGUAUUCGAGUUGUGCUUAUCAUAUGUGUCCUAACAAGGGUUGGUUUUCUAACUUCAAGGAGCUGGACGGUGGAAUUGUUUUUAUGGGCAAUGACAAUGCCUGUAAAACCUUGGAAAUAGGUACAAUUCAAUUAAAAAAUCGUGACGGUUCAAUCAAAGUCUUGACGGAUGUUCACUACAUACCAAGUUUAAAGAAAAAUCUCAUCUCAUUAGGAGUCCUAGAAUCUAAAGGGCUCACAAUCACUCUGAGAGAUAGAUUAUUAAAGGUAGUAGCUGGCACACUAACGGUGAUGAAAGACACAAGAAGAAAUAACUUGUACUAUUUUCAAUGGAAUACAAUUAUUAGAUCAGCAUCAACAGUUUUUGGAAGAGAUGCAGAUUCAGAAGCAACCAAGUUGUGGCAUAUGCGUUUGGGACAUGCUGGUGAAAAAUCUUUACAGACUCUAGUGAAGCAAGGCUUAUUGAAAGGUGCAAAUUCUUACAAAUUAGAAUUUUGUGAACAUUGUGUUUUAGGCAAGCAGACAAUGGUAAUGUUUAGUUCAAUAAUUCACGAUACAAACUUCCUCGGGGGAGCAUUAAAACCUUCGAGCAGAUGUGCCAGGAAUUUGCAGAGCAGUUUCGUGGGGCAAUGGCACCAGAAGAUGCCAUGAUGGAAUUGAAAAACAUGAAGCAGGGGGAAUAAUAAACACUUCGGGAAUUCAUCAAGAGGUUUUACCAUGUUGUCCUUGAUUUGGGAGCCUUCAACCAUCCUCAGGCAUUAAGGGGACUGAAAGAAUGGGUGAAGAUAGGAAGACUGUGGUACAACUUGAGAAGCCCAGUUAUUCAGACGUACGCCGCCGCAUACAAGCAGGCUAAGAGGGACAUUGAGAUUGAAGUGGAAAAGGCAGCACGGAUCAAGACAGACCAGUUAGAUGGGUUGGGGAAGAAAGAGAAGAAAGCAUUGCCAGGGAACGGGCCGAUCAGGAGGAGAGACCUUCAGGCCUCAAGUAGUGGAGCAGGAGAUCGGGUAACUACUGGCCAUCCUCAUCAGAGGCCACCACAGUAUCGGCGCAGCAGGGCGCAACCUCCUCGUUCCCCAGCUAGGGAGCCUUGGAGAAGCCAUGACUCGGCAUAUGGUGGUCUUCAUCAACACUCCCACGGUAGUAGGGGGCAGACCAGAAGUGCUGCCACCGCCUCCAACUCAGAACGGAGCAAAUAGAGAAAAAGCAGUGCACCUGAUCGACCAGAACCAGGACUAUGGGCAGUACACUUCCUUAAAGAUGUUCCUGGACGAGGUGUACGAGGCCAUAAAGGAUCGAGGGUUGCUAUACCUCCCUGCCUCAAUAACAAAACUACCCAGCAGGAGGGAUAAGGGACGCUAUUGUAAGUUCUAUGGCGCGCAUGGCCGUACUACAACAGAAUGUAGAGAUCUAAAGACCCAGGUCGAAGAUUUGGUGAGAAAUCGAUACCUGGACGAGUUUAUAGAGGGGACUUUCCCGAUGGUGGCCUCGACAUGCGAGGGGGAGCAGAGUGGCAGAAAUUUGAGGCACGAGUAGCCUACAGUAAGGGUGAUUGCUGGGGGCCCGACAUUGGCUGGAGAUUCCAACAGAUCUAGGAAGAACUAUGCUAGAUACGCCAUGACUAGUAAAGAGGUAUUCUUCAACACCCCGGCAGCCAAACGAGCAAGAGUCAGGCAAGUGCCAAUCAUGUGGACAGACGAGGAUGAAAAAGGGAUUUUAUACCCACACGAGGAUGCCUUAGUCAUCAAGGCCACUGUUGCUAGCAGGAAGUUUGACCGGAUACUAGUCGAUAUAGGAAGCUCGGUUGAUGUGUUGUUCAAGUCCACUCUAGAGGAGAUGAGAAUAGCAGACCUGAGGUUGGAGCACACCAACACCUCCUUGAAGGGAUUUGGAGGAGGAAAGCUGGUCCCCCUGGGUGUGGUCGAGCUGCCUAUCACAAUCGGAAGCUCCCCGACAGAAAGGACUAUGAUACUAGAUUUUGUGGUGGUUGAUGAAGAGGGUCCUUACCAGAUAAUCCUAGGUCGGCUGUUUCUGAGGAUGAGUAAAGCAGUACUGUCCAACCAUUAUCUUGCUCUCAAGUACCGGGUGAAUGGGGUAGUUGGAGUGGUACGAGGAGACCAGAGAAUCGCACGAAGCUGUUACUCCUCGGCAGCAAAGGAAUCGAUACAGAUAACAUCCCUUGAUACCCGAGUGAAAGCCAGGAAUGGCAACUUAUUGGACUCGGAGUUUACAAGCUGGUUCGCAAGGACGGCCACGAGGUGAAAUGCCCAUGGAACGCAGCACACCUCCGAAAAUACUUCCAGUAAGACUUGUUCACAUUUGAAAGCUAUUUCUGCUCGUGUUCAUUAUCGUUUAUCUUUUAUGUUUUAUAUCCAAACAAUUUCAUGUAAGUCGAAUCCUGCCAUUAAUGGAACGUCGAGGAAUUUCAUUCGCUUGAAACUGUGAAAAUUUCCUAAGGCAUGCAAAGGCUCGUCAAGUCUCAAAGCCUGUUUAUGGCGAGACCAGAAGCCAAGCGUGCCAGGAUCUGCUCGGCCACGAGAAGGCGAGCAGAAUCCCAAGCUUUGAAGAAAUUACCUAAGGCAUGCAAAGGCUCGACAAAGUCUCAAAGCCUGUUUAUGGCGAGACCAGAAGCCAAGCGUGCCAGGAUGUGCUCGGCCACGAGAAGGCGAGCAGAAUCCCAAGCGUUGAAGAAAUUACCUAAGGCAUGCAAAGGCUCGUCAAGUCUCAAAGCCUGUUUAUGGCGAGACCAGAAGCCAAGCGUGCCAGGAUCUGUUCGGCCACGAGAAGGCGAGCAGAAUCCCAAGCGUUGAAGAAAUUACCUAAGGCAUGCAAAGGCUCGUCAAGUCUCAAAGCCUGUUUAUGGCGAGACCAGAAGCCAAGCGUGCCAGGAUCUGUUCGGCCACGAGAAGGCGAGCAGAAUCCCAAGCUUUGAAGAAAUUGCCUAAGGCAUGCAAAGGCUCGACAAAGUCUCAAAGCCUGUUUAUGGUGAGACCAGAAGCCAAGCGUGCCAGGAUCUGCUCGGCCACGAGAAGGCGAGCAGAAUCCCAAGCUUUGAAGAAAUUAUCUAAGGCAUGCAAAGGCUCGACAAAGUCUCAAAGCCUGUUUAUGGCGAGACCAGAAGCCAAGCGUGCCAGGAUCUGCUCGGCCACGAGAAGGCGAGCCGAAUCCCAAGCUUUGAAGAAAUUGCCUAAGGCAUGCAAAGGCUCGACAAAGUCUCAAAGCCUGUUUAUGGCGAGACCAGAAGCCAAGCGUGCUAGGAUGUGCUCGGCCACGAGAAGGCGAGCAGAAUCCCAAGCUUUGAAGAAAUUACCUUAGGCAUGCAAGGGCUCGACCAAGUCUCAAAGCCUGUUUAUGGCGAGAUCAGAAGCCAAGCGUGUCAGGAUCUGCUCGACCACGAGAAGGAGAACAGAAUCCCAAUCAUUGCAGAGAUUACCUAAGGCAUGCAAAGGCUCAUCAAGUCUCAAAGCCUGUUUUAUGGCGAGACAGAAGCCAAGCGUGCCAGGAUCUGCUCAACCACGAAAAGGUGAGCAGAAUCCCAAUCCUUGAAGAAUUGAAGGCAUGCAAAGGCUCGUCAAGUCUCAAAACCUGUUUAUGGCGAGACCAGAAGCCAAGCGUGCCAGGAUCUACUCGACCACGAGAAGGCGAGCAGACUCCAAAGCAUUCGAAAAAAUUCCUAAGGCAUGCAAAGACUCACCAAGUCUCAAAGCCUGUUUUAUGGCGAGACAGAAGCCAAGCGUGCCAGGAUGUGCUCGACCACGAGAAGGCGAGCAGACUCCGAAGCAUUCGAAAAAAAUUCCUAAGGCAUGCAAAGGCUCACCAAGUCUUAAAGCCUAUUUUAUGGCGAGACAGAAGCCAAGCGUGCCAGGAUCUGCUCAACCACGAGAAGGCGAGCAGACUCCGAAGCAUUCGAAAAAAUUCCUAAGGCAUGCAAAGGCUCACCAAGUCUCAAAGCCUGUUUUAUGGCGAGACAGAAGCCAAGCGUACCAGGAUCUGCUCGACAACUAGAAGGCGAGCAGACUCCGAAGCAUUUGAAAAAAUUCCUAAGGCAUGCAAAGGCUCACCAAGUCUCAAAGCCUGUUUUAUGGCGAGACUAGGAGCCAAGCAUGCUAGGGUCUGCUCGACCACGCGAAGGCGAGCAGAAUCCCAAGCAUUGAAGAAUUUUCAAAGGCAUGUGGCAAAACCAUGUGCCAAGCCAGAACCUGCUCGACCAGACAAAGACGAGCCGAUUCUCAAACGAAAAAUAACUCAUGAUUACGACACAAGAAAGUAAUCAAAAAUAUUUUUAUUAAUUUGUUAAUAAUUAACAGAGGAGAUAAUCUUCACAAACAUUGUUCAUUACAAUACAAGAAACAUAUUUAAGAAGAUGGUGGGUCCGCAAGCCGAGCAUCCUCAGUUAGAUGGUCCACCUCAGGUGCUGGGGGAGUAUCUCCAGUUGCGUCUGGGGGGGUACUCGCCUCACCAGCAUCAGCAGGGAUUACACGGGGAGGAGAGUUUUCCUCUUCUAUCACCAUUGGUGCCACCUCUUCGGCAUCCUCCUUUGCAGCCUCCUCGUCCAUAUGUUGGGCGACACCAGCUGCAAGGUCGUCCAUCUUUAGAUCAGGAUGCUGCUUCCCGAGGACGGCCAUGAUGCAACGAUAAGAAUGCCGAAGUCCCUGGUCGUACUGGUUGUCGGCCUCCUUCUCCAAGUUCUCGACCUGACCUCGGUGGGAAUCGCGGAGGGAUUCGAGCUGAGCCUCAUACAUAGCCUUCUGCCUUUGAAGAUCCUCCUUGACCUUGGCCAGCUCUUCCUCGAGAGUAAUAGCCUUGGCUUGAGCAAGAGAUUCUCGCUCAAUCAACUUCAGAUUCUCGAGGUUUAAGUCCCCUGCUUUCUUCUCAGCAACAUCAGCUCUGGUCGUCGCCGACUGAAUGUCCUCCUUCAUCUUCCUAUCAUAACGGCCAACCUUGGCCUUAUAGUAGGUGGUCAUGCAGCUGAGAUGGAAAGCGCUAUACUGCAUGGCCCCCACCAGCUCGCCUAAGGUGUAGCCAUCAAAGUCCUCGAGGUCCUUCUUGCUCACGAUUUUGGAAAGCUCGUUGAGAUAGGGGGCCAAGUGUUCUGCUCGGCUGUCAGGUAAACGAGAUCUAUGCCCGACAAGAGGCGAAGAGGAAGCAGGAUCAGUGGCUGCUCCACUGGUCUCGUCGAGUUUGGCAGAAAGAAGAGGUAAAGUCUUCAAGGGAGAGACCUGCUGCACGAUGUUGGCCCGCUUUGCAGUAGGGGCAUCCUUGUUCUGGUCCCUCUUCGUGGUUUGGGGUCGAGAACGUUUCCUGUUUAGAGCCCCAAUCACGGCGUCCUCCAUCUUAUGACCAGGGAGUAUCAAGCGAGACUCGAGCAAGUUGUAUGUAGUUAUCAGCUCCCGGCUCGAGCAGGAAUUGGCUAGCACAGCCUCGACCCGUUUGAGCUGGCCAGGUUUGAGCGAGAAAUGAACACCCCAAGAAACUACAACACAAACAGACACUUGGUUAGAGACAAACCAACAAAGCGAGAACAAUUACGGAUACAAGACAUCUAAAGCGAACAGGCAACCUGGGACCGUGAAACGGGGUGGAACGCGAUAAUCCUUCCCGUCUAUUUGUGCAACUUGACCCCAAGGACCCCCAGCAAAAAAGAAUUUCCUCUUCUAAUUCCCACCACCACCAGUAGGGAGGUCGGUUAUGGGUUUCCUGGUCUUGGUACUAGAUUGAAAGUAGUACCAGCCGGCAUCUUUGGGGCUGCUCUUUAGCUGGUACAGGUGCUUCACCUCAUCAACUGUGGACUCGCUUUGGCAACAUCUGUCCCACAAUAUGAACAGACCAGAAAGUACUCUCCAACCAUUUGGGUUCAGCUGACCAGGAGAUAGAUUCAGCCCGUUAAGUAUCCGGGCAAAGUAAGGUUGCACGGGACACCUCAGCCCAUACUUAAAACUAUCCAGAUACAGGGUAACGUAUCCCCUAGGAGGCCGGCUAGGAGUAUCCUUCUUUCCUGGGACCUUAAGAGGGAUUUCACCAGGAAUACUAUACCUAAGCCGGAGGUCAUUGAGCUCAUCAAACGUGGUUAUGCAUGUCAUGUAAUCAAUAGCGUAAUCCCGCGAUAGGGCUCUACCUCCUAUUGUACUCCGCCCUUCUGGUCGCGACGCUCCUGAUGGGGACACCUCGCCAGAAUCAUCUCCUCGGCCCUCACUCAGGGUGUUCUCCGAGCCAGAAGACCCCUCUUCAUCACUAUCUCUGCUCGAGGAGGUCGUUUACGGAGACAUCCUCCUAGCGCUAGUGCCGACACUAGAUCUAAUGGGCUCUAAGGGGAUCCCGGGGUCAAAAGCAGGAUCAGUGAGCAGACUAGGCAGGAAGUCCAACUCAUCGUCGUCAACCUCAAUGACCUUCUCUUUACCUUUCGACAUUCCCUAAACUCUAACCACAACACCACCACCAACUACUACCCGAACAAAAGAGAACAAAAAUUAUCUACAACUAUCCGAGACCAAGGAGAUAGAAGAAAUACCUGAAGUAAUGGUUCAGUCGGUGAAAGACAGAGAUGGAGGCCUUUAUGCCGGAACUUCUUUGCCGGAGAGACAGGGACGGAGACAGAGGGAAUGAUGAAUUUGCUGUUUGAAAGGAUUUAGGUUUCCUAAUGGGGACGGCCUCUUGGGUUGCCAGCAUUUAACGGCACCAAAUCCCAAGGGCCUCGUAACCGUUGGUUUGAAAUUCGAAUAGAGGGGCAGAUUUCUGCCACAUCACCUCGUCCGCAAUUAAAUGCGAUAUGACUCUUGGCAGCCUUUUCCAGUCCCACGCGACCAAGAACCGCUAAGUUUCUACUGCUGGUCCAUUACAUUACCCAACACCAGAAACUGGGGGACCGGUGUUUGAGGGAAAUACUCUGACGAGACCAGACGUGAUGAGCAGAUGUUUGGUGGUAGAAGUCUGCGAGCAGGUGUGUCCUGUAAGAGCCAGGUAGCAGGGGAACAGGGGCAGGAAUAUCCUGCUCAUCCACGAGCACGUCAUCCGCGAGGCCAAUUUCCUGUAAGAAGCAUAAAGCCAUUCCUGCUGUAUUCUUGCUAAGGGUUGAUUCGAGGAGACCCGGUCAACGACAGUUGGCGAGGCAUGCUCUCCAGCCCGAGAAUCUAGGCACGAAGGCCACGCAACCACCCACGACUACGGAAAUGGGGAAUCCACGUUCGAGAGGUGGGAGGAUAACGGACGUAGACUGCGGAAAACUGGGAUUCAGAGGAAGCCUAUAAAAAUGUAGCCAACGAAGGUAAAAUGGUUAGCAAUUUUGAGAUUAGAAGGGAGAUAAAGAAAUUCUAAAGAAGAGAAAACUACCCAAAAGCCAUAAGAUCUGUGGCAAGCGUUCCCCGAACCUUCAUAUCUGACUUGAGCGUCGGAGGGUUUGCGUCGGGAAAACAACCGGCGUACUCUGACUUGUCUGUGUGCGCAGGAACCUCUGGAGAAGAAGCUUUACGAGGAGAGAUCCUGGUCGUGGUGAAGUUGAUCGAGCAGAGACCCUGGUCGUAGAACGAGGAGAACCAGAAUCUCGCAUCAACAAAACGUGUAUUUCAACCUGAGUACUAGCGAUUACCAGUGACUGAUUAACACUUGUUUUAAUUGUAUUCAGCAGUCAUAAAAAUUUACUUUUUCUUGUUAUUUAUUUAUACCACACAUUUUGACUACCACAAACUUAAGUUGCUUGGCUGACGUAUUUACCACAAAUAAAAACUAACAUUCGAGGUUUUUCUUUCGACAUUUCUAUAGAUGUUUUAACAUUUUAGAUUACAAUAUUUUUCAAAACUUGAUUUAGUCACUGAUUGUUGACUACGACGACGACAAAAAAUCUAUUUCGUUGUGAAAAGGAAUCCACAAGAGUACAAGACGGAGCCUUGAUCCAGUAAUAUUACGGAAAAUGGUAUUUUGUUUCCUUACAAAUGAAGAGAGGUUCUGUCUUUGCAGUGGGUAAGGUGAGGGUAUAGAACAUAUUAAUGGCUUUACUUAUCAUCAUCAACUUCCUUCUGUGUCUCUCAAUCUUUGUCUUCUUCUUUGUUUUGCAAAGGAACAUAACCUCAAGAAAUAAUACUAAAUUACCACCAGGCCUCCGGGGCCUUCCUUUCAUCGGUAACGUGCACCAGCUUGAUGUCUCAAAGCCUCACGUGUUAUUUUGGGAACUGUCAAAAAAAUAUGGCCCCCUCAUGUCCUUGCGUCUUGGGUUUUCGCCAUCCUUAGUAGUUUCCUCGGCGAAAAUGGCUAAAGAGAUAUUACAAACCCAUGACCUUCAAUUUUGCAGCAGGCCAGCCUUGGUAGCACAACAAAAGUUAUCUUACAAUGGUCUUGAUUUAGCGUUUUCACCCUAUGAUGAAUAGUGGAGAGAGAUAAGAAAAAUUUGUGUCAUUCAUCUCUUUAACUCUAAUAGGGUACAAAAUUUUCGACCCAUUAGAGAAGAUGAAGUUUCAAGAAUGAUUGAAAAGAUUUCAAAAUCAGUUGGUGCUUCUAAUCCCGUAAACUUAAGUGAGGUAAUGAUGUCUCUUACCAGCACCAUUAUUUGUAGAAUUGGUUUUGGCAAGAGGUACGAUGAAGAUAAAGCAACAAGUGGAAGAAGUAGAUUCCAUGCCCUGCUUAAUGAAACUCAAGCCUUGUUUGUAAGCUUUUUUGUUACAGAUUAUUUUCCUUUCAUGGACUGGAUUGAUAACCUCAGAGGAAUGAUGAAACGCCUGCAAAAUAACUUCCAAGAACUCGAUGGAUUCUACCGGGAACUCAUCGACGAGCAUUUGGAUCCAAACAGAACUAAAUCAGAAUUGCCGCAACAGGAGGAUAUAAUUGAUAUUUUACUUCAAAUAAGAAAAGAUCGUGGAUUUAAAGCUGACUUGACUUUGGAUCACAUCAAAGCAGUGCUCAUGGUGAAUAAUUUUAUAAAUAGUUAUAUGUAGACCGGUGCUUAGGCACAGACUCAAAAUUUUGCGCAGAUACCCAAUUUUACAGUCUUGUAAAAUGUUUUAUAGUGCUGUCAAGUGCUCUCUGAUGUCCCCAUCUGAGCACGAUUAACUUAAUAUAGUUUUAUUUGCUUUAACUAAUCUUAUAUGUAUAUAUUUAUGUUCUUUUUUUUUUAAUUUGCUUUUUUAAGUAAUUUAAUAUGUAUAUAUGUAUGUUGUUUGUUUGGCAGAACG
rnacentral:lncRNA from 1 species